AAAAAAAAAAAAAAAAAAAGUUGAACUACGUUAUGACUUGAUCCCUAUAUUAUAAAGGGUACGUAGGCAGCUUAAGGAAAACCUUAAGCCCAGUCCAGCAAAAAAAAAGUUGAACUACGUUAUGACUUGAUCCCUAUAUUAUAAAGGGUACGUAGGCAGCUUAAGGAAAACCUUAAGCCCAGUCCAGCAAAAAAAGUUGAACUACGUUACGACUUGAUCCCUAUAUUAUAAAGGGUAUGUAGGCAGCUUAAAGGAAACUUUAAGUUCAGUCCAGUAAAAAAAAGGAAGAAAGACAAAUUACAUUUAAUAGAAAAUAUGAUGAGGAGUGGAACAAUGAAAGAAUAAAUUUUUUUUAUUUAUUAUAAACUUCUAGCAAAAAAAAAAAUUAAAAAGGCAUAAGUAGAUAAAUAAGAGAAAGCAGAGAAUCAUGGAGUCCAUUUAAAGUUCUUCAGCUCCUCUAGUGUGCUUUCUAAAGAUUCACGAAGUGUUGAUAGCAUUUUAGCAUCAAUAUCUCCAACGAUCGGGGCACAUUCGAGUUUGUCAAUUUCCUCACAAGUCUUCGAAAUCUCAUGUUGCUUCUGCUUCAGCUCCAGGUCGUUCUUAAAAAUUAUUCCAGAAAGUUUAGCAGACUCAGCCCGCACCAUCUUUAGUUUUGCCUCUAGUUUAGCCUCCUUGGCGGACAGUCGUGUAAGACGACGUUUAGCAGUGUUGGUCUCUGCCAAUAUACGAUUCUCAUCAACUCGCAGAGUCUUCACAAAACCUUUUGCCUCCGUUAGCUGAACAUCCUUAGUUGAUUGGAGUAGAAAUGAGGAAUGUAUUUGAUUAUGGUUCUCGACACCUUGGAAGUAACCAUUCACAAGCUCCCUCAAAACAAUAAGGUUGUCGCUGCCGCUAGUCGCAAUCGCAUCAAAGAUCUUAUGCAUUUCUGGUUCAAGACUACUCAGUCGUUCAAAAGGGGUACGAAUGAUCUUCUGUCGUAGGUUUUCCCAUAAGGUUAUGGCAGCCUGUCGUCGGAGGUCAGAAAUUAAGCUGUCAGCACAAAAAUGAGAAAUCUCAGAAACUGUAAUAGGCUCCGUGCCUUCCACUUUUUGAGGAGGUCCCUUGAUCACAGGAGGACAAGCAGACACAAUAUUUGCGCCUAUAGGUUCCUUAGAGUUCCCAUUAUAAGAAAGUACAACGUUACAGUCUUCUAGAUUCGGCAUCGACUCUAGGGUAUCUUCGAUGUGUAGGUCGUGAUCACCUAAAGAAGACUGCAAAAUAAUAUUAACAACAAGAAAUAAGAGAGUAAAGGAGAGAAAAUACAAUAAAUAAAUAAAUAAAAAGGGAGACGAAAAGAAACCAUGGGGGAAGGGACAUCGAAGAAUUGUGCAGCAUCAGGGACCCGAAUAGGAGACUCUUCAUCAUCGAUCGACUGUUUGUUGGCUUCUUGGUCUCUUCCAAUGGCGAUCAUCAUGCUGCUUUGACUGUCCUCAAUACGUUUAGAAGGAUGCUUGGUAGCUAUGAUAAGCUGGUUGUCCUUACCCACAUUGUCAAUACACCUUUAAUAAGAUGUUUAAAUCGUGUUAGAAAAGAGACAAUUAUCCACCAAGCGUUUUGUCCCUCCCUCAAUUUUCUCCACAAGUCGUUCAUCAGUUUCAUCGAGCAUAUCUUCUGAUUUCCACUACCAAAAUUAUGUUCAAUCUUUUUUGUGGUUUUGGAUUUGAUGUGAGGGGGAGUAGGACGAUCUAUCAAAUGUUGUACUCCUUCUUGGAGGUAAUCACCGUGUUUUUGCAAGCCACCGACCUUAUAAUGAGAGGUAACAUGUGUGUCUGGAUUAGGGGCGACACAGGAAGAUAUACUUGGGAAAGUGUAUUCUCGCGAAUACAAAUCAUCCAACAAUAUCGUACGUUAAAAAAAUUGGCUCGGGAAUUUCUUCACCUAAGUCAUAUGCACGUCUUGAUAAAAUCCAAAUUGUCGGCUAAAGCGACAAGGACUAUAAGGCUCAAUGUGGAGGAUCCACAUUGCGAGGAUAGAAAACAAGAGCGAAUGCUUAUGAAAAAUGAAGCAUUCCAACUAAUUAACUCUCCAUCAUCCGUUAAGAGUUCGUCCUUAUUCUUUGUUGGAAGACACGCAUGCCAUGACACAUACUUUUCCCUUGUGGAUAUGUGUUCGAGCCUCAAGAUUAGUAUAAUAUUUGGCCCCACCUUCACCAGAAAAUUCAACCAUGCGAGGACCCCUAAGACUCCUAGGGCUUUAUAAUGAGUGUUGAAGUAAAGAGCAAGCCACCCAUGGACAUAGUGAAGAGGAAAACAGGCAUUUGAAUAACCAAGUGAUGAAGUAGAAUCAUGAACUUGGCGUAGGCCACUAUAAUAUUAGCUAAAACAGGGACAACAAGGCUAAAUGUGUAGCCUUCCGCAUGAGGCUAGCAACCUUAAAAACCUCUGACGAAGGGAAAGUUGCUUAUCAGGGAACACAAAACACAUAGCCAACAAGAGAGAAUGCCGCUAGAUAGGUUUUGUCCCUAUGAUCAUCACGUGACGCUUAAGUCAAGGAACACUUUGAGUUCAGCUUUAGACCAGUCAGGACGUCUGAUGGGAAUUCCAUCUGGAUUAUGAGUUGAGCGAGGGCGAGAAGUCUUUUUAGGCUUUCGAGGAGCGGUUUCAAUACUUUACCUCAGAUCGUGUAACCCAAAAAGAGAUCCAUUCACUUACAGUGAUUUGAGAGUGAUCCAUGCGUUGAGAAAAGCUAAUAGGCUAAAAUAAAUGCUCACAACUUCUUGGACAUACAUCAGGUGAUCCUAUUAAGUCUUUGGCAAGGAAUGCUUUCUUCAUAAAAUCUACCUUUAAUCGGGAGUCCUCCUAGUAUCCAUAAGUCCAUAAGGAGAUGGACAUCUCACCAGCUGAGGUGUGAAGAGUGUUUGUUGAAGGACACCAUGCCUCGCAGAAAGCCCGAUCAAUGUCACUGUUGCGAUCAUAUGUAUAUAGGGAAGCCAUCACAGCAUUAAAUAGGGAGGCUCGCUUGAGUACUGCCGUAUUUCUAGCAACAACGAGCUCUAACCACUCCCAAUAAUGAGGAAGAUUGUAAAAUUCUCCAUGUACCUUGAGCACAUUUCCCCAACGAAUUUUUGGGUCGUUUAUAAUUCGACGACCCAACGUUGAUUCUGGAUCCUCAUUUGGAGGCUUGUUGUGAAUCGAAGACUCCAGAAACCAAGAUUUUAAAGAUGAAUUGGGAUUUACAAACCGUUCCUUGGACCAUUUAGGCAAAAAGAUAAAAUUGUCCUCGGGUAUUUGGGAGUCCAUAUAUUCUCAUAUGUCCCCUCUCUCACAGGAAGAAUGAUCCCUUCCUCUAAAGAUUGAUCUACGUCUUUCAGGAUAAUUAAACACCUUUUGGUCAGUCAGAAUACUCAGUGAAGUGCACCAUGAUGAAAAGUAGAGUUCCUGCAAAUAUAAUAAUAAUAAUAAUAAGAAUAGAAAAAAACCAAAACAAAAAAAAACAAAAGAAAAGAAAAAAAAGAAAGAAAGAAGAAAAAAAAGGGGGGGGGGGAAGAAAAAAAUGAAGAUUGAAGCCCGACGAUGACAAGAAUCGAUCUCUCCUACUAGGGCGAUAGAUCUGACGGCAAAAGCCGAUCGUCCCUAGAAGAAGCUCAACAAAGUCAUUUGCAAACGAAGAUCGAAGCCCGACGAUGACAGAGUCGAUCUCUCCUACUAGGGCGAUAGAUCUGACGGCAAAAGCCCGAUCGUCCCUAGAAGAAGCUCAACAAAGUCAUUUCUGCAAACGAAGAUCGAAGCCCGACGAUGACAGAGUCGAUCUCUCCUACUAGGGCGAUAGAUCUGACGGCAAAAGCCCGAUCGUCCCUAGAAGAAGCUCAACAAAGUCAUUUCUGCAAACGAAGAUCGAAGCCGACGAUGACAGAGUCGAUCUCUCCUACUAGGGCGAUAGAUCUGACGACAAAAGCCGAUCGUCCCUAGAAGAAGCUCAAAAGUCAUUCCUGCAAAAAAAAAAAAAAAAAAACAAAAAAAACAAAACAACACAAAAAAAACAAAACAAAACAAAACAGAAUUAAAAAAAGCAAAACAAAAAAAAAACACACACACAAAAAAAGAGAAAAAAGAGAAAGGGAGAAGAAAAGUUUUCUAUACCUUUCUGCUGAUUGGAUGAGGUAUAAGUGAGUAGGGUGUGAGUCUAUUUAUAAGUCCAACAAAUCCAAUUUUUAAAAGGAUUAGGAAUGAUAUUUAAUUAUUUUUUUUAAAAAAAAAACAAAUCCAAUUCCUAAAAGGAAUAGGAUUGAUUUUAAAUAUAUAUAUAUAUAUAUAAAGAAAAGAUAAUCCAAUUAUCUUAUUUUAUUUUAAAUUAUUUCUUUUUUUUUUGUUGGAUAAAUCUCAAGUUUAACUUUUAUUGAGAUAUUUAAAAUAUUUAAAAAUUUCAACAUUUAAAAAUAUAUAUAUAUAGAUAAAUAUUCUCAAUUUCAAAAUUCAAGUUAAAUUAACUUGCAUAUAUGACCUCAUUUUUAUCAUGAAUUUAAAUCGGAGCAUAAAUCCAACUUUACCUAAGAUUGAGGACCUGAUUUUUUAUCUCAAAUUAAAAUUGGUCAUUCCAAAUUCUUAUGCAUCCCCAAGAUAAAUUAAGGUACGGUAGAAACUUUAUCCUUAUUUCAAAAUUAAAAUUUUGGUUAUAUUCCAAAUUUUACUUAAAAAAAAUCAUCAUAUUAAAAAUUUUUUUUAUCCUCAAAUAAAAUUAAGUUAGGAAUAAAACUUUGAAUUUUUUUAAGGUUUGGCCAUAUUCCAACCCUUAUUUUAAAUUGAAAUCAAACUCACGUACUAAAUUCAAGUUUGAUUAAUUUGAUAUAUUGAAUUGAGUAAAAAAAAAAAAAAAAAAGAAGCUCGUACUUUGACUUCAAAUUUAUCUUUUCGAGAUUCAUUCACCCAUAUACGUGCAUAAAUCUCGAAAAGGGGGCAUUUGUUGAAUAAGAAAUUUUGAGACUAAUCACUAGUUGCCAUAUCAUUUAUUAAGUUAAUGAUGAAAAGUACAAAUAAUUAAAUUUGGGACUAAUUAAAAUUGACAUAUGCUCCAAAUUAAAGAGUUGAAAAUAAAUAAAAUGGUCAUUCUAAUAAUGCCACAUGUUUUCAUAUUAAUAGUUGGAUUAAGUUAAUCAUUUUAGUUCAAUUAAAUAUUAUUUACUUGGACUAAGUUCAAUUAAGCCCAAAAAAUAAGCUUAAUUGAACCCAAAGACUAAAUAUAACCUAAGUCCAUAUGGUUGAGCCCAUGGGUCUGGUCCAUGGACCAACCAGGUUCAAACCCAUAAAGCCCACCAGUGAAAUCUAUAAAUAGAGGAAUUCUCCUCAUUUGUAGGGGUUGGAAAUUUUGACUCUAGAAGAUCCAGAGAGAAUUCUUCAAAGAGCUAGAAGACUCCCUAACUCCUGAAGUCGACCAUCCUCGAAGAUUGAAGCUUCUUUAAAGAUACAAGCUUUCUUCAAGGCUUCAACUUCAAGAACAUCACGUGCUUCGCUUCCUCAAAUCAAGCUGAAGCAUCCAGUUGAGAGAGAAUCAGAGGAUCAAAUUCUAGAGAUUGAACCGCAUCGCAUCAAAUCAACAAAAUACAACAUCAAACUCAAGUUCAAGUCCACGAAUUAAAUUCUCCGAAAAUCUCGUGCGAACACAUAUAUUUCUAAAUAAAUUUAUUCGACGAAAGUGGCUAGAUUGGUGGGUUCGACGGCGAAGGCUUGUUGUGGCAGCAACGACAACAGUGGUUGGAGUGUGGAAUCGACGACGACAAGUGGCAAAAAAUUGGAAGGCAAGGGUUCUUCAUAACGACUCGGUAGCCCACUUCGUUCGACGAGAUUUUUUUGCAUUUUUGGUAGAGUGAGAAAAAAUUGCAUUAAGACUUCAUUCGACGACAUCGUUUUUGCUUAAGAGAAAAUUUGAUGUUUUUACUUAGUUGUAAUUGCGUGAGAGAGGGAAAUUAAAAAAUUUUGAAAUUUGAGGUUUUUUCAUUUGAAAUUUUUUUUAAUGACAAAAAAAUUGUCGUUAAUUAAUGACCCAAAAAUUGUGUGAAAUAAAUUAAAUUGUGUCAAUAGAAUUGUUUUAAGAAAUAAUCCAUAUUUUUAUUUUCAACAACACAUGUACCUCAUCCACCUCUUUUUUCUUUUAUUUUCAACGACACAAUGUCUUGAUUAAAAUCCAUUUUUCUAGUGACAAAUGUAUCCAUACCAAAGUGGGAAGCAGCUAAGGGGACGAAGGUAUAUUCGGAGAGAGAUUGUUAAACAAUUGUAAAAAGUAAGCCCAAGAAGAGAGGUCCAAUAAAAUUCAGCCACCUCUCACAUAGUAAUUGAAAUAGUCUAGCAAUUUCAACCAUUUCCCUCACAGAGAAGAAGAAGACCAUAGCCACUCGAGGCUUUUGCACAUACAAACACCAAGAAGAUGGUGUCCGGUUCCGUACCUGUGCUAAGCGCGUCGUUGUUGACAUAAAGUUUCUAUAUACAAAGCUAUGUAUCUCUACCCUUGACUUCUCUUUCUCUCUUUCUACCUUUUUUAUCCUUUCUUUCUCCCAUUCACUCAAUACACUUGCAAGAACCUUCAUUUUUUUUGUAUUUAAAUUUUCUUGGCACCAUCCUUUUUUAAUUAUCAAGGCUUUGUUAUUGUGUACCUGUAUUGUGUCGUGCCUCCUUCACUUCUCAUCAUCAUUUUCAUGUCACAUCUCUACCUUGUCAAUUUUCGUUUUUCACUCAGCUUUCUUUCUUCAUUUGUCUUCACUACUCUCUUCGCUCCUUCUUCUCAAGCUCUAACUUUUGCUAUUAUUAACCAGUCUCAAAUGACCAUUGGAAAACCUAUAGCCCACUGAGAGGCAGCCAAUAUAGUAAUGCCUCUAAUGAUAAACUCCAAUGAAAUCAAAAGUUCUUCUUUGAGAUUUGGAAAAAUAUAUUAGAUAAAGCAUAAUUAGUUGAAAAAGAACCUUAAAAUUUUGUGUUAAACGACUACAAUUUCAUCGUAGAAUAUGCCAUAUUGACAGCAUAUUUUUCCUACAAAAACAUAUUAACUAAAAUAAGCUCAUAAACACGAAAAUGCACUAAGUGUUGGUUAACAUACACUACCUUGAAAUAUGAUGAAGACUUUAUUUCUCCCAACCAGACAGCAUAAUCAGGAGGUAGUUUGGGAGCAAACAGAAUUGACUUAAUUUCCACUAGCAAUAUCCUAUAAAAAUUUCAAAUUCUUGAAAUAUGGAAACCAAUGGAAGUUUUAGGGAAUGAAGUAUAACCUCUAAAUACAGAAGGACGACAUAAAGGGGAAUGAAGACUCGAAAGAAGGACGACGUUUUCGUAGAGAAGGACGACAAUUUUGAGGGACAACGGACACGAUUUCAGAGUAUUAGGGAUGGUAGAUGGCGAAAGUCUUAGGGAUCUCGUACUCAGUGGAUGGUGAACGACUGAAAGCGAAGGACCUAGUACGCAUUUUUGGAGAGGGCGUGUGAACGCGGAUGGACGGACGGUGAACACGGCAGAAGUGAGAGAUCCUCAUAGAGAACUUGGCAUUUUCGAAUGCGGUAGAGACAAGUCUAGGGCUUCGAAGGAUUCAACCCAAUAUUUUCUUUAUAUAUAUAUAUAUAUAUAUAAUAUAUAUUUAAUAACACUUGACGUUUUUAAAACGUAAAGAAAAACGAUUUUACUUGACGUCUAAAAAACAUCAAGAAAUUUAAAAAAUAACUCUUCUCCGGCUUUUUAUAAAAAUUCUUGACGUUUUAAAACAUAAAGAAUUUUUAAGAUAUUUCUUGACGUUUUUAAAAUGUCAAGUAAAAGUACAUAUUACUUGACGUUUGAAAAUUUUGAAGAAUGUUGAAUAUAUAAACAUUCUUGACGUUUUUAAAACGUCAAGAAAAAAUACAUAUUAGUUGAUGUUUAAUAAACGUCAAGAAAUCUGAAAAUUGACCUACCCUCGCCUUUUCUAAAAAUUCUUGACGUUUUAUCUUUGGAACUACCCCUUUCUUGACGUUUUUUGAAAAAAAAUGUCAAGAAAGAAAAACAACAAACGUCAAGAAAGGCCUUUUUUGUAGUAAUGACAUACAAUAUAUAUAUAUACAUAAAUAAAUAAAUAAAUAUAUAUAUAUAUAUAAUGAAUUAAAAUGGUUUUGUUGCUUUACUGUUUUACUCUAUAAAGGAAGAGCAUUAUAAAUAUAUUAUUGAGGAAACAUCUUUCGAAAUGACUGGUUUUGGAAGUGUCAUUAGAUUUUUAGUUAGUUAAGCACAUUUUCCUCCCAAAUAGUAGUCGAAAUACAACUGUUUUUUAAGAAGAAGAAACCGAAUCCUUCAAACUAGGAUAAAAGUCAUUAUCUAUUAACAUAGAGUUAAAGUUACAAGGUUGAAGGCUAGAGGGAAGCCUGAAACAACCUAAUCUAACAAAGCUUAAAGUUAAGAGUUGGUAGUAACAUCAUAUUAGUUACAAGAUGAAUGACGCCUAGACCAAACUUCGAUCAAGUUACAUGUGUCUUCCCACAAGUUAACAAUAAACCUUGAUUUAUCCUUAAAAAUUCUAUUGUUUCUUUCUAUCCAAACAAUCCAAAGUAAGCCAGUUAUGGAGGAGGAAUACACAUUAGAGAGCUCAAUUAUGGAUGGAGGAAUACACAACUUUUUCUCGUGGUCAUUUUCCUCGUGGGCAUUCUCUUCAUGUUUCUUCUUAUUCCGACUAAAAUACAAGCACAAAUUAUUCUUCGCCUUCGUAUAGGUUUGUUUGAAGAAGAUUAAAAAAGUCCUUAAUUUAUCUCGACACUUCCAAAACCAGAAUAUAAUACCCGUGCUACAUAAAUCCCUCUUUCCAAAUAGUCGAACAUGAACUAUCCAUGCAUAUCUUGGAAUAAACAAGAGAAACCCUAACUAAACGCAAAUAGAAAAUACGUUGCAAUCUAAAAUAUAGUUAAAGAAACAAAAAGAAGUUUUAAUGUUGUGGGUUUUUUACUGAUCUUCUUCAACAACAAAAUAACUCAACGCCACAGUUCAAUUUUUCCUUCCACGAAUUGGGUUUUUAAAGAGUUUUCACCGCGAAUAAAUUUUUUUUGGUUCGACAAGUAACAACAUGUGAAUCCCCAAAUGCAAGGUUUUAUUAAAAAUUAAAAAUAUAAUUUUUUAAAAAAAUUAUAAUACCUAAAAAUAUAUUUUUUUUAUAUUUAUAACCUAAUUUUCUGUCAUUGCAUACUUGAGAGAAAUAUAUUUUUCAAUUAGCAUAAUAACCUUUAUAUAGUAAAUUAAAUUUGUAGAAUGAGAAAAGACCUUAGAUCCAAAAAAGUUAUUUAUUUAUUAUUGGAGUGAAUUGUAUAAUUAAUGUAGUUAAUGGAUGGUUUUGUAACCAUAAAAAAAUAAUGAAAAUAAUUUUCUAAAAGAAUGAAUGAAAAUUUGGAAAGUUAAAAGGUUUUAGGAAUUAAAAAAAAGGGUGUAACAUUAUAAAAGACUACCAAAUAUACUGUAAGAGACAUGCAUUAAAGGAGCUGAGUGUCACGUGUGAAAUUUUGACCCCAAAAAUCACCCCCAAAAUUGCGCUAAUUCAUGCCACGACUCCUUCAGCAAGGCCCAGGAGCAGCCCAACGUGGUCCUAAGACAGCCUAAGGGCGACCACGACAUGUGCCUACGGCAUUGGCAUGCACCUCUCGAGGACAGCUCACAAGCCCCGCACGCGUGCCACGACGAGUGCCCAUGACAGCCGAGUGUCAGCCCACGACACAGCCCCAUAGCACGCCAGAUGCCCGUUGACACGGCCAUAGGCGCCCGGCACCAGCGCCCACCAUCGACCCAGCGCGCGCCGUGUCCGCCCAACGUCCAGACGGCCCCAGAACCUCCGAGAAGCUUCCAGAAGAAUCGGGAAGGCGCGCAACACUUCGCGUGGCGCGCACGGCGCGAACCCAACGCGCGCGCCGACGCCCCCAGAUGCUUCCAGAAGGCUCCACACAUGCCCAUGUGUGUGCUGCCCGCCCAUGCUCAGUCUAGACAACCCCAGAAGCCUCUAGAACGUUCGAGACAGUGCCAGAAUGUGCUGGAAUGCGCGGAGGCUCCCGAGAAGGCCCCGGAACGUGCUGGAUGAUGCUGGAACGUGCUGGAACACUCUAGAAGGCUAUAUGACGGUCAGCGAGUGUCAUGAAAGGUCUAGUCCUCUCUAGAAUGUUCUAGGCUUCCUUGUUAUGUACCAAAUGAACUUGUAAUCUCUAGAAUCUCCCUUGGCCGACCUUCUAAGGCCCAAGGUCGGUGGGGAUGGUCUAUAAAUACUUGGGAGGGCCUCAUUUGUAUCAAGCCUUGCAACCUUGCAUCUUGGCAUGUCUUAGCCAAGCAAGGUCACCUUGCCACCCAAAGUCUCCUUGCCCAUGGUAUCCCCAUGACAAGAAGACAGCAUAUUUGUACCCAAAUAUGUAUUCAUCUAUUGUUGGAAUGCAAUGUAUCAUUCCAAAGACGUAUCCAUCCAAACUCCCUCAUCCUUCCAACCUCUCUCAUGUCUUGCAACCAACCUUAGUACUUCCGCUGCAACCGUUGUCGUAGUGCUUGGCACACUACCCCUUCCGGGAAAGGCUUACUUGGCUACGUGGGCAUUGUAGUUAGCCAAGUGCCGCAUGUAUGGUUAGCUUCAAGAUCCUAACCACGUGACAUGAGGCAUGCAUACUACCAAAUAUACUAUAAAUAAACCAUAAUUCUUUUUUAAGAAAUUAAACAACUAAUUAAAUAUAAAGAAGAAAGAUUAGAAAAUGAAUGAUCAAACAAACUAUGACUCAUUUAUUUUUGACAGGUUCGGCCAGUAUCACCUGACAAUUCAUUUUCACCAAGAGAAUAAACAUGAGUAGCCUUGGAAUCAAGUUCCUCCGAUAAAAGCCACGGAGUUGAUGGGUUAGAGACAGAACCAGAAUUUGAGUUCAACGAUGUGGAUGGAAAAUUCUGAAACUAGGAGCAACAGGAAGUUAAGACAACGAAUUAUUUUCAAUAUAGAAAGGCUAAUUGUAAGAAGUUGUUAAUGAAGUGUCCAAAUGCAUUAUGGUAAUAUUGGGUGCAGAAUGUUUGGAAGUUUUAUCCGUGUGCUGUGAAGCACCACAGAGUUGAAGCAUAUGAAACCAGUGUUUAUCUGACAAAAAAUAGUGUCAUGAUCAUUGCCUUUCCAUUCCAUAAAUUUAUGGAUAGCAGAAGAAAGAGAACUCUCAACACUUGAAUCACCAUAUAGCACUCUACAUCCAGGUGGUGCCUUGAUUUUUGAAGAUUUAGUUAAAAGCAGUGAUAAAAUUGGUACAUAAAUUACAGUGCAUUUCUCGAUAUGCAACAACAUUAAGAGCAACUUAAAGACAACAUCAUCAAGAAAUCUAGUAUUUAAAAUGUACAAAGAGCAGUAGUAAACAUAUGUAUUUUAUGGCUGACUUUAUCCAUAAUAAAUGUUGGAUUAAAUCAUCAAAAUAAAACACAAACAGAUAAUUAUCGAGUUUUUCAAUGGAGGAUAGAGAGGAAGACAUGCAUGCACAACUACUAGAUCUAUAUGGUGCCAGACUGCCAGUAAAAAUUUAAAGACACACAUGACAACAUUAUUUUGGAUGAAGUUCUAAUAUUGCAACCAUGGAGGAAAAAUCAGCAAAUCUUAAAUAGAUGUAGUAGUCCAAAUGAUAAAAGUUUGUCUCAAGAUAAUAUUUCAGUAACUGCAGAUGCAUUGUGUUGAACCUAACCUCUUGUGUUUCACGGUAAUGAACAAGGACAAUGUGUUCAAAGGUCCUGAACAAAAAGCAGAAGCAAGUCAUAAAUUAUAUAAGUAGAACACGAUAUACUGCCACUUCUAAUUUCAUUUUUCUUUGCUUGUGGCAUGAUGGGGAUAGACCCCACUGAAACAACUGGUAGCAAGCAAUUUAACAAUUUUCUUUCAACCAUAACAUACUUAUCUAGGAGCCAAUAACACCGGCGAACAAAGGUUGGGCUAUCUAGUCCAUGGGCAUAGUAUACAUGUAUCCUUUCUACAUUACCAACCUGCCGAAGAGAAAGAAAAGAUUAUCAAAGCACACCUUUUCUUGGUUAUUAAGGCUGUAAAAGAAUGAAAAUUACCAUAAAUCUAAACACAGUUAAUAUUAGACCAUUGAACAACCUAUAGAUUCAAAAGGAAAGACUCAAACCACCAAUAGACUGGUUAAUCAUUUAAAAUGAUCUCCAACAACAUGAUACGCAGUAUAUCGUGCUAGAUCCAUAAUUACCACAUGUGGACUCCUAUGGUAAUUUCAUUGAUGAUACGCAGCUAGUAGGCAAGAUUAUGAAAUGAAGACGGUAUGUGAGAAGAUUGAAAAGAUCAACAUGAUAAAAUUAUAGGGAUUUGAAUUUAUAUCUUAAGAACACCAGAGUCAAAUGCUUAAGCUGAUUAACUGUGUUAAAUUUAACUCUAUAAUAUAUUUUAAAUCUGAACAGUCAUUAAACAACUACAUUUUGAAUAAGCUUUAGAGAAUAUUAGCAAAAACAGUAGAAAUUACUUCAAAUUUGUAGAGAGAACAUAUAAAUUAUAUUCUACAGAAACACGAGCCCAUAGCAUGUCUACUGAGUAGCAAUGACAGUGAAAAAGGGAAUAGUAAGUAACUAAUCUCAUAAACCCCUUUCUCACAUCUAACCAAGUUCUUUCAUGACAUGCAAAAGCAUCAAAAUAUUUAAGAAAACUUCCAAUAUUGCAUUUGGAACUCAUUGAUUGACUUCAACGUUUAAGAGUCAUAAAAGACACAACUUACUUUCUCACCUGUCACCACUAAGCCUACGGCAACAUCUUUUUAUAAGAUAUUCAGCUAAUCUUUAGAUUGUUUACCGAAUAAUCGUCUAUUGUUUUGUAAUUGAUCCCACCAAGCGCUUGCGCCACCUUGAAGUUUGAGAGCAACUAAUCGAACCUUCUUGUGUUCGUGGUGUAUUGGCAUAGUCGAAAAAAUUUCUACGUUCUUGAUCCAAUCAAGAAACUUCUCCACGUCCAUUCGACCAUUGAAGGUAGGGAGAUCCACUUUCAUACGUAUUUCUUGAUCUUCUUGAAAGUAUGGUCGAAGUCCAAGCCUUUGUUGAGGUUCUUGAUGAAUGUUCAGCAAGUUGUCUUCAUCGGAAGAGUCAGAAUCAUUUAAGAAAUUUCAGGUACGUUGUUUCCAUACAAUCGAUUAUUGUGGAUGUGAAUAGGUUGAUUUCUUAGUAGUUCUUAGUUUACAACAGGGUUUAUUGGUCUUUCUUGUCUUUCUUGGUUUGCUGCAAUUGGGUUUCUUGGGGCUGAAUUGCUUCUUCUAAAGGUUGGACAUGAAAUCGGGUAAAAAGGUUUGUUAAUUCUACUAACGAUUGCUGUAUAUCUGACUGCCCUUUUCGAAGUUCUUCAAUAGCUUGUUCUACCAACUGCAAGCGUUGGUUGAAGGAGGCUUCCGCGUCCAUGGAUAAGAGUGGUAGGAUCCAAGUUUUUUUAGGGAAGAGUGAGCUAGGAUCACGCUCUGAUACCAAUUGAUUCAGUAAUUGCAAAGCUAGAAAUCUUUAUGUAUAAUGCCUCUUUUUUUUUAUGUCUUAUUAAUGAAAAUGAGAAGCUUUUUUAUAGGCUGGAGAUUAUAAGAGUUGUUAAACUAACUUGGGGUUGAGUUAGUUAACUUGGAGUUGAGUUAGUUAUAACUAACUCAAGAUACAAAAUUGGUAAUUCAAAUAACUAAUCCUAAACUAUAAAAAUGGUAAUUCAAACCCCUCCUCUAGGAUAAAACUCAAGAAACAUCAAGAAGGGAGAUGUUCUACAUCAAAGUGUAGAGAACGAUUCAAAAUCCUUGGUGAAAGAAAUGAAUGUUAACUAAUGUGUGUUUAUGUGAAAUUGUUCAAUGAGUAUGUUAAGGAUAAAGAAAGGUUUAUGCGAGAUAAAAUUAUUUGAUGUUGUUUAUGCGAAAUGAUGUUUAUGAAAAGGUAUUGCGAAAAGGAUUUCAUAAAACCUUAGUCUUUUAGACAUUCUUUCAAAAAUUCAUCUUCCAAGAUGAGGUGUUUAGGCCAAGUAGAGAAGAAGGUUGAAGGAUUUGCAGCGAGAUGACCAGACGUUUUGAAAAUAGUUAAGCAUUGGUUGUUUGGUCAAAGUGUUGUAAUUAUGUAUCAAACACAUGUUAUUAAUAAACAUCUUGGUAGGUAUUUAUUAUACUUGCACGCCUACUCUCACAUUUAGCCAUAUGUUGUACUUUGUUUUCCACCUUGACUUUUAAUGACACACAAACCAACUUUCCAAGGAAUUCCCUUUCAUUUUCCUAUUAACUCAUAUUCUCUUUUUUUAUCAAGUCCUUGAUAGAGAAAGUGGACUUUGAGUUGUUGGACUUUAGUAUUGCAUGGACAUACAAUUUUGAAUGAAAAAUCCUUAUAAAUGGGGCCUUUUAACUCAUUUGAUGGGUUGGCUAUUGAAUUUGGGCUUUCAUACCAAAUGGAAUUUUUUUUCUUAUUUACUUAAAGAAAAAAAAAAAAAAUUUACCACGCCCAUUUUUUUUCAUCUAUUUCUUUCGUCCGGUUCUUUCAUCCAACGAGUCCCACAACUCGAUUAUGAGUCUAGAAGUACUAAGUCAAACUUAGUGGUUGUUCGAAUAAAACGCAACUUCAAAUGUAAGUAUUCUAAAAACCUUAUUUUUUGGUUUAGUCUCGUUAAUUAAGCCCAAUUAGGGUAGAAUUUCGAUUCUUUUUCUGUUGUGCAUGUCUUAGUUCUAUCAGUAACUCCCUUCAGGGUGAUAACUCUCAUCAGCAGACUUUCCAUUACUGGUUUCUUCCUUAGUCAUCAUUAUAUUGUUGUUUUCCACAAUAGAUAGGGUGAGUUGCAGUUUUACAUGAAAUGCUCUGCUCACCCACACUCUUUUCUCACUAGUUCCUUAUUCUCAAUCUUCAACGCAAAUUUCAUCAUCUGGGCCAACCCAAUCGGUUCCACAGUUUCCACUUCCAUUUUUAUUCAUGGGCUAAGCCCAAUCAUCAAAGUCUCCUCUAACACUACCGUUUGAAGAAAUGCUACUAGAGCUAAAUAUCGAUCAAAUCGGUUGCGGUAUUCUUCUAAUCAUUUUCUGUUUGAUUGAGAAAAAUCUUCCAACCAAAGUUCCUUCUCGAAUUGAUCGAAACUGUACAAGCAUUCGUUCUUUCAGGUCAGCCCAAUUCUUAAAAACUUCCAACUCUUCUUGUGCUUGGUACCAAUCCAAUGCCAGAUCAUCAAAACUAAUAACGCUGUGGUUAAUUUCUCUGAAUCAGUAAGAUCAUGUAUCUUAAAGAAGCGAUAGGCUCUAAAUUGAGACCCAUUUCUAAUUUGAGUAAUGAAGUAAAUUUGGCUAGGUAUUAAGAAUUUGGCGUUUGAAUAAAUCCACGAAAAGGAUUAAGCGAUAAAAAAAUUUAUGGUUAAGUAUACGUUAUUGCGAUUCAGUGGGUAGUUCGCGAAGGAAGUUGUGCGACCCAUUUCUAAUUCGAGUAAGGAAGUAAAAUUCGGCUAAGAAUUAAGAAGUUGGUGUUCAAAUAAAUCCAUGGAAAGAUUAAGUGAUAAGAUCUUUUACGGUUAAGUAUACUUUUUUGCGAUAAGUGGUAGUUCGCGAAAGAAGUUGUGCGAUAAGAAGCGAAAAAGUCUUUGCGUAAGUUAGAAAUGAAAGUUUUGAGUGUUAGACUAGGAGUUUUGGGUGGUCUUCGCGAGAAGAACCAAGUGUUUCGUGGAGAAGAAGUCUACGAGGAAGCCUUGGAGUUUAAGUUCGUGAUAAGAGUUUUAUGCGAGUAAAAGUUGGUUAGUUCAUGUGGAACGUUUCUUAUAAUAAAAAUAUAAUCAAGCGAUAAGGUUAUUCACGAGAAAUGUUAAGUGGUUGAAUUUAUUCACGGUUUGGGUUAGGCGGGAGCAAGGUUUGUAAAGAAAAUGUCAAAUCUGAUUUGACAUGGGUUAACAUGUAAGAUUAAGGAUUUGAGCAUGACUAGGUUAAAUAUUAAGGAUUUGCAUGACUAAGUUAGUAUAAGGGAUCUAUAAAAUAGGAGAAUUUAGGUAACUAAGGAGGGGAUGACGAGAGUUUUGUUGAAAUGCUAAAGUGUUGUUGGUUUAGCCACGAAAAGAUGGUUGUGAGAAGGACUUCUUUAGUAAAUUUUGGUGAGUGCUUUUCAGUCAAAAGAAUUUAUGUUAAGAAACUUUAUUACGAUUUCUCUUUACUGAUUGAAAGAAGAAUUCAGAUGAGAAUGUUUCAGAAAGAUUUCUAUGAAAAGUUAUGUUCAAGCAUUAUUAUAAUGUUAAAGCUUGAUUUGAUGACUAUGAUUUCAAUAUUAUGUUUCUUUGAGAUGAUGCUAACUUUUGUGUGCACAUAAAGAGUGAAGGCACUAUGGAGUGUACGAACUACAUGGUAAUAAGAAGCUGACUUAUGCAUUGAAAUGAGCGUAUAAAGCUUAGCGGAUGACAACAAAGACGAAUUUGUAUGUUCUCAGAUGUUGAUACAGUAGUCUAAACGCGAGGUAAUGACACCAGCGUAGAGAAUGAUUCGGGAUCCUUGACAAAUGAAAUGAUUUUUUAAGCAUAAAGAAAGGUUUAUUCGAAAUGAAAUAAUUUUUCGGUAUAUUUAAAUGAUUUGAUAUUAUUUUACAAAAUGAUUAUGAAAAGGUAUUGUGAAAGGUUUUCAUAAAACCUUAAAGGAUUUAAAAAAAAAGUGGACCAUUCAACUUAAUUCCCAUCCACUAUCCUCUUGUCCAACAUGAAACUUUAUCUUAGUAAAACUUCUUGAUCCACUAUUUUACAAAAAUAUUCAAAACAAUACCAUACUACACCAAAUGUGAUAUUUUGGUAACACUAUAAAAUGGUCAGAAAUACCAUUUUCCUGACUUUUUUUUCAUCGACCAUUAAAGAAAAAGUAUAGAUGAUGUUUCAAAAACUUCCAAACCAUUGUGUUAGUUAUCGUUUUAGAUGAGGGUUGGGGUAGAGCAUCAAUACUAAAGGUUGUUAAGGAUUAAGAACUAAGACUUGAAAACAAAACCGCCUGCCUGGUUGACAACAACACCAUCCCACUAGAGUGCACAAUGAUUAUUAUUGCAUUAAGAAGAAGAUGGCAGUUAACCUUAGCGCCAUAAUCAGAACCUCAAUCCUCCCUUUGAUGAAAGCACCUAAAGGUGUCAUGCCUUUCCCCUCUACCACAUUGAAGCUCUUUGUCUAACACUACAAGAAAUGAGGGCUCUCUCGAUGCAUAAAAUCAUUGGGAGAUAUAUAAAAAGCAUCAGAAAAGGCUUUUCUGACAUACUAAUAUACGUUGGAACACAAGUCAGGAAAAAAUGUAUCGGGAGAGGAACUCCCGAUGCACAAUGUUGUGCGUCGAGAGUUUCUAGACAUCUUCUGACGUUGUAUGAACGUCGAAGAUGUUGUCAAUAUAGCAUCGAGAGAUGUCUAGGAACCAUGCGUCGGGAGAUCCUCUAUUUUUUAUUAAAAAAAAUAACUUCAAUUAAUUCCUAAAUUCAAAUUGAAAACUCUAAAUUCAAACUCAACUUCAACACUUCAACCUCAACUUCAACACUUCAAAUUCAAAUUUCUAAAACCUACAACUAAUUCAAAAUUCUAACAACACUUGAAAUUAAAUUUCAACACUAAAACUUACAACUAAUUCAAAAUCUAAAUACUAAAACUAAUUUGAAAUCUAAAAUCUAACACCUAAAACAAAUUUGAAAUCUAAAUACUAAAACUAAUUAACUAAAACAAAACAAUAACUAACUAAACCACUUACCGAUGGCGGCGACGACAGGACGACAACAGGGACGACAAUGGAGAUGACAAUGCCCUCUUCUUCUUUAUCUUCCUCUCGGUCUCCCUCUCCCUCUCUCAUUUUUUUCUCUUUAUGUUUCAUUUAUAUAAAGAAUGGAGUUAAAAAAGGCAGAGAACUCCUGACGCACAACGAAAACGAAUUGGUUCCACAAACCAAUCUCAUCACAGAGGUACUCUUUGCAAUUUAAGCUCUAUUUGCAAUGGACAGUCUUCAAAGUUUUUUUUAACGAUGUUUCCAAUGCUUUCCUUUCUCUCUCAUGUUUAAUAAAACAAAUUUCUCUUAAAACCUGUAGGGAGGCUACAUCGUAUCGAAUUUCAUACAACUGACGUGUUCAUCGAGUUACAACAAGUGCCGCACAAUAGUCUGUUCCAUUUUGAAAAGUUGUGAGUGUGACACGCUCACAUGAGGUUAGAACGAGACAUGGCAAGGCAAGCCCUACGCGCGCCUGCAACUUCUGCCACAAUAUUUUGUAAGCAAGCUGAUGUCUUUAGGCUGUUUUUGUGGUUUUUGGAAAUUUUAAGCAAAGUUUUGAUAUUUUUAUGAUCAACGGGAAUUAAAUGGAAUUAUUUCCCAUUAUUUUUCAUUAUUUUAGAUUUGAAGGAGAUCGACCAAGUUUAUAAGCCAAGGGUCCAAGCUACUCUCUAUAAGUGACAAAAAUGAGUUUAAAGUUGAUUUCUAUACAUGAAUUUACUAUCAAAUGUUUCAAGCAUGCUUUGAUGUUUGAAUAUUUGAGGAUACUGACUAUAAAGUAUUUCCAAAGCAUGAAUUUAGAAACAUUUUGGUAAACAUGUUUUUAUUCAUGAAUUUACUAAUGAAAAUUAUAAGCAAUCAUGAUUGUGCUAAGUUUUCAGAAUGUUUAAGCUUGAAAAUAAUAUUAGCAUGUUUUAGUCUAUACCUAAAAUAUUCUAAGAUAUAUAGCAACCCUUCGCGGAGAGAUUUUCUUGUGCAUAGAGGUCAUUUGAUUUGGAUAUUCAGUAAAUACCUAGCUUUCCAUCAUUGGUAUUAGAUAAGAGAUGAAGACUUCUAAAGAUGCUUAGUUUCCCAUCUCAGGGACGAGAGCUUGUACGAAUGCCUAGUUUUCCAUCUCAUUGUAGUUAUAACGAGAUAGGGCACAAUUGAUGCCUAGAGUUUCAUCUCGUAAGUAUCGUAUCACGGGAUAGGGCUUCUAUGCCUAGUUUAUUGUUUUUCGUCUCGACGAUUAUAGGUAUAACAGAGAUUUGGUUUGAGGUGCUUCUUAAGUCUUUAAUAUUUAUGUUUGUUUUGAUCCUAGGAAUUGAGCAUGUAAUGUAAAAAGUCUAUGCACAAGGGGUCAUAUGGCCAUCUCCGUGUUUCUUUAAUUAUCAAAUUUGUUCAAGUUUUUAAUUGUCUCUAGAUCAAAAUCUGGAGUUAUUUUUUGUGAUUUGGUGUACAAAUACAUACAUCCAUGUUUCUAAUUAUGAUUAGAUUGUUUUCUGCUCGCAACAUUUUAUUGUUUAGCUUGUCUUUGAUCUUGAACUUACUAUUAUGUUGAUUUAAAUUCCAUUUUAGCCUUAGAACUUUCAAAACAUCCAUUUUAGUCAUCGAGCUUCCAAAACGUAGCCAACUAAGUUUUAGUAUUUUGUAAAUUAUUUUAUCAAUUAAUAUUCAUUUAUCCAAUACUCAUCGGUCAUUUCUGCUAUAUGUGAUUGGAAUAUAUCUCAUAGGAAGCAUUUUGAAAGUUGGGAAAAGAUGGAAAAUUUUAGGGACUAGAACAAGAAUUUGUUUAAUAUUUUUUGAUAGGGUGAAUUCUUGCAAUUUCCUUGUCGUAUAUACAUAAUUUUUUCUCUCAUUUGGCAAAUUCAUUAUGCUUGAAAAUUUAGGUGAUUCAUGAGCUAGAUAAAGUAAACAACGUAUGGAAGAUGAUCUUUGUGGCUUGUGAGGAAGACGUGGAGGAAGCCUUGGUGGCCGUAGAAAAAGGGAUAUGGACUUUCAACGUUGAAUGGUUAAUGGCAUGUAUAAUGAGACAAGAAGUAGACUUGGAGGCCCUUAAUUUGCUGAGUCCCUAUGAGAAACAAGGUCACCCUAACUUUCAGUUUUGAACAAGCAGCAGCCAGCCAUUUCGUCCUUGUGUAAAUCCACUCUUUUCUCAACUCACUCUAAUUUGGUACAUAAACAAACUCUGAUCGCUCCAUCUCUAUAUUCAUCAGUACAUAAAAGACGAUAAGUUUAUUCAUGGAGAAAGUUGGAUGUAAGUAUGUUUUAGGAAUGGUCCUUCAUUUAGUAACUUUGGGAAUUGUAAAAAUGAGGUAAUGAAGUUCUAUCAAGUUGAAUGUUCUUGUUUAUGUUAGAUGAGACUGAUUCUUGGAUACCAGAAUUAACUUGAAGUACGUGUUUGAGUUCCAUUGGAGUGAUUAGAGAAAAGAUGUUCCUUUAAAAACGGUAAUUUUUUUAUGUAGACUUUCUUUUUAUUAAAAUUGCUUAAAAUACAAUUUGAGAGUAUUUCAAUAGCUUUCAAAGAGUUGUCAAACACUUGUAGUUUUUCUAAAAUAACAUAUUUUCAAAAUUAAUUACUGUAAUAGUUAAACAAAAGAUUCUUUCCCUUCGAAAUUUUAAAGUUUGUCUAGUUACCUCUUAAACCUUUCAAUUGUUUAAUAGGUCUUUCAAUUUUAUGUUUUAAGUGUCAUAAAUUUUGAUUUUUUUUUAUUUGUUAGAUAUAAAUCUGAAGAAAUGAAUAAAGUAGAUUUGUAAGUUUAAAAUAGUUUAAAAGUUGAGAAAUUAAAUUUGUAGUUUAAAAGUUGGAGUAAAUAGUUUGUGUUAAGUCGGGUUGUGAUAUUUUAUUUAUUUAUUUUAAUAAUAGAAGAGAGGGAGACGAAAACUGCAGACUGAAGGGAGAAGAAGCGGUGGCUGACUUUGUAUAUUUCUCCUUUCUUUUCAAUUUGAGAAAAUUUCUUUGCAAUUCACUUUGAAAAGGAAAUGAAUAUUUCUCCCUCAGACUUAUCUCUCUCUUCUUUUCAAUUUAUUUUCAAUUUUUCUGUGUGCUUCUCACAGUGUAUGCAUAAUCUCUCUUUCAUUUUGAUAUUCAUCUCCAUUUCAAAUAUCUCCCACACAAAGAACAAAGAAAUGAGUAAAGUAACUGAGAGAGCAUUUUGUUUUUCCCUUCAUAUGGUUGGUUACUUUUUGUCAAUUAAAUGAAAAGUGAAGAAUAAGAUAAGAUUUUCUUUACCCAUUUGCCAUCAUCAUCAAAGCUAUUUACCUCAUUUUUGUUCACACACACACAACUUCAUUUUGUUGGAUUACACUCAUUUGAGAAAAUAGCAAAAUUUUAUUAGAAGAAUAGCAAACACGAGCAUUUCAUGUGUUUUGAAUUUUCAUUAACCCUAAAAUCUCCUCGCCUGCUUUUUAGUUAAACUGUAACUAAUUUUGAAAUAUGCAAAAUUUUAGCAUAAAUAUUGAUUUUCUCCUACAUUAUCUUAACACACUUUUUUUCCUCCAAAUAUUGGAUUUAUAUCAAAUCUUUAUUUUCAAAUUUUACUUUAUCCAAAUUUUCAUUUUUCAAAAUUUCAUCGUUAUUCUACUUUUAUUUUUGUAUUUCAUAUAUAUAUAUAUAUUUAUAAUAUUUAAUCUUAUUUUUUCUCUUUUCCUAUUCAUCUUCUUCCUUUCUCUUCCUCUUCAACCUACGGCCACACCACCGUCUCUUUUCUUCCUUCUCUUUUCAUUCUCCAAUCAACUUCACCACCGUCUUCCACCUACAUCGAACGUCAAGCAAAUUUUGUCGUAUCGUCGCAUCACCGUUAGCCCGAGUCACUCCGGUUCCGUCACGCCAUGUAUGUUUAGAUUUGAAUUGUUUGGUUAUUUGUUGCACCGAUCCGUCUCCGUUAGAAUUUGAUUCUCCACAAUUUGGGUAAGUUAUGGAAUUUACAUAUAGAGUGAAUUGAAUGGAUUAAAUUGUUUGUGGAAGUGAUUGAUUUCUCUUCAAUUAUGUUUAGGUCGGUUCGUUGCACUUUAGUUUGAAAAAGAAGCUUAAGUAAGGUUAUAAGCUAAGGGAUUCUCUACUACUGGACUCACCUAUAGUUUUGAAUUGUGCUGUCUGUAUAGUUACCUCGAUUGAGUAAAGAUGUCGAAACGAUAUAUAUACGUAUGAAUGUAGACUUGAUGUUGAAUGCAUAUUGUGAUUGUCUGGGAAUAUAUAUAUAUAUAAAUAUGUAUGGAUGUAGACAGGACGACAAUUGUAGAUUGUGUUUGUAUGGAAUGUGGAUGUGUGAACUUGUGAUUGUCGUUUAGAUUGGGUGUAUGUUAUACUAAAGUAUGGUUGUGUACUGGUGAAUUGAGGGGUGUUAUGACUAUAUAGUUUGAUUGACUGAUGUAUUGAUAUGUUACUGGCGGACAUUGGGCUAAAGUGAGAUAAGUUGACUAUUAGGGUGUUCAGUGAAAGGAUUAUAUGUUGAAGUAGUUGGUUACUAUGAAUGAGUUUUAAGAUGUUUAGAAUGGAUUGAGGGGAAAAUUGUUAGAUUUCUAUUGGGUAGUUACCUUGCAGGUGUCCUACAGGAUCACCACCUGAUAUGUGCAUCCUUCGAUAGCACUAGACUGAUAUGUGCAUCCUUCGGGAGCAUUAGACUGAUAUGUGUUUCUGCGGAACACUAGACUGAUUUAUGCGUCCUUUGAGGCGUUAGACUGAUUAUGUGUAUCCUACGGAUCACAAGACUGUGACUGUGCAGGGUACCCCAAUAGGAAGUUAACAGUUUCUUUUUCCCCUAACGGGACGAAUAACGGGUCUCUUAUUGGGUAUGUUUAUACUCAUCCUUUCAUGUUUAACUAUUUUAGGCAAAGGUAACAAAUGAGGUAGACUGACGAGGGACAAGAAGGAGACGUGAUUGCCAUAAGGGAAUGUCCUUCAAAUGCUUCUGCUUUAUGUUUCUUGUUUUCCUUUGUACAUGAGGUUGUUUAAAAAUUUUGUGAUGGAACUGAGUUUACGAACUGUUGUUUUGUGAAUAGUACUUUAAAGUUUGGAUAUUUGAAAUAGGGCCCGAACUUAAGUUUGUUUUCUUUGAUCGUAUGAUUUCAAGUGAAUUUUACUAUAUUUUGUGUCAAUCAAGGUCUCUUUGUCAAAAUUAAUGACUUCAACUUAGUUAGAAAAGUUGGGUCGUUACAACAAAUUUUAAGUAUUGAUGUAAGAAUUAUGUACUUCAUUAUAAAGGUCGAUAGCUUACAAAUAUUAACACGAUCGUGUACCGAUAACAAGACGAUUGUUUACACUAUUCAAUACGAUCACCAAUAUCAUAUGAUCGUGUACCCAUGUCAACACGAUAAUUUAUUUUAAUCAAUAUUAUCAUUUACCGUUCUUAAAUGUUCGUUUAUCACGGUUAAUAGGAUCGUUUAAUGUAUAUUAUUUCAUUGCACGAUCGUUUACUUAUUCUUGCAUUGUGUUUAGUAUUAUCAUUUUGUACAUUUUAUUCUUUUAUUCAGUAAUAAAUGUAUAUCUAUGUCUAUCUAUUUCUUUCUAUCACAAUUAAAUACUUAAUUUUAUUUUAUUUAUUUUUUUUACAGAUUAUAAUGUCUUUUCCUAUUGUUGUUUUUUACGGAGGUCAAUGGAAUGGAUGUAAUAUUUAUGAGAAUUACUUAGUUGCUGAAAUUUUGGUAGGUGUCCGAGUCAGCUUUAAUUCUCUAGUUGAUUUAAUAUGUGAACAGAUUCAAUUGGAUGGAUAAGUAGAAUUAUCUGUUUUACUUGAUUUUGGUAAAAGCAAGGUCCAACUGUGGUGCCAGUAAAGAAAGACAAUGAUGUGGCUUGGUAUUUAUCUUUUGCUAAAGAUGCAACUAAUAUACAUCCAUUAGUUGCUCAUGUAACUGUUGAUUUUUUUUAGAAGGUCUUCUUCUUCUUAGAGAACUACCUGUAGCUACCAUGCUUAGUUCAAUUAGAGAUGUAUUGCAAAAGUGGUUUGAUGAAAGAAGUAAAGCUACUUUUACAAUGAAGAGUUGUUUGACUUCUUGGGCUGAGAACGUGUUGCAUUUAGAAUAACAUGAAAAGUCAAGAAUUUUAUUGGUAAUUUUUUUUUUUUUUUUAAUGUUUGUAUCUCAGGUAGAUAUAAAUAGAUUGCUAUUUUUGUCCAUUCGAUAGAGAAAUAUAACAAUUUAUGUGUGCUUGUUUCAGAUAUAUAGAGAUAGAUAGCUAUCAAUGUCUAUUUGUCUCUAUUUGUGCAUGCUUUUUUUUUUAAUUUUUCUAUAUUUGUUUUAUGUAUUAGGUUGAUCCAAUUAGUAUGACUGAAUAGAAAGUAAUGGAUGAUACAAAAUGAUAAUGUGAUUUAUUUAUAUUGGUUCUAAUUUGAAAUAUUCAAAUUUACUUUGGAAAUUAGUAUAAUUAGUAUAAUAUAUAAUGAUACAUUAUAAUAUAAAGUUUAUAUUUAAUGAAACUUUAUUAUAUAAAUUUAAUUUUAGAUAAAGUUCAAAAUUAAUUUAUGAGAAAAUAUUUGAAUGAGUUCAAAUAUUAAUUUAAUGUGGAUUUGUUUCAUAUUAAAACUAUUAAUUAUGAGAUAAAGUUAUAUUUGAAUAUGAUUCAAAUUUAACUUAAGUUAAAUAUAAAAUAUUUAAUUUAGUUAUUAAUUAAUUGAAGAAUUAAUUAAUAGUUUAGUUUAAUAUUAUUUAAUUAAAUUUGAUUUAAUUAAAUUAAUAUAAAACUAUGGGUAUUGGAGAGAUAUUCAUUCAAUAAGAUUUAAAUGAAAUAUUAAUUAAAUAUGAUUUAAUUAAUUAUUAACUAAUUGAUUAAUGGUUAAUUAGUUAGUUGAUUUGAAACUUCUAUUAAUUUAAUAUUUUUUAAGUUAAUAGAAUCCUAUGAUUUUCUCCUACCCCGUCUCCUACUCAAUGAAAGAAAGAGAGUUAUAAAUAUGUAGAAGAAAAACAUCUUUUCUUAACCAAAAUAAAAUCGAUGAUUUUCUUUUCUGCAAAAUAGAUUGUAACGACCUAAUUUUUCGAAUUAAGCUGAAGUUAUUACUUUAAGACUAGAUUCGUCUUUAACCAUAAGACUUUAUAAUUUAAAAAAUAUAUUUUUUAACAACAUUAAAGAGUUUUUAUUCGGCUCUAUUUCAAAUAAAAUUUUGAAAGUGUAAAAGUAUCGAUAAUAAAGAAAGUUCAAGAACAUAAAAGUCGUUCAAUCAUGAAACCCAAAACAGUCUCAAUUACUAAAGAAAACCAAAAAAAAAAAAAAUAUAAAGUAAAAGCAAUUUGAAGGACAUUUCCCUAUGGCAGUUUCGCGGAAAAAGAUUAAACAUAAAAGGGUGAGUAUAAACAUACCCAGUAAGGGACCCACUACUGAUCCUGUUUAGAAGAAAAAUAAAAUUGUUAACUUCCUAUUGGAGGUGCCCUGCACUUUAAAAGUCUUGUGAUCAUGUAGGAAUACACAUAAGCAGUCCAAUGCCCUAAAGGACACAAAUACUAGUCUAGUGCUCUGCAGAAAGCACAUGUCAGUCUAGUGCUCUCGAAGAAUGCACAUGUCAGUCUAUUGCUCUCGAAGAAUGCACAUGUCAUUCUAGUGCUCUCGAAGAAUGCACAACAGGUGGUGAUCCUGUAGGACACCUGCAAGGCACACUACCCAAUCGACAAAGCUAACAAUUUUCCCUUAGUCCAUUAUAAACAUUUAAUCAAUCCAUUCCUAGUAUAGUCAAACUACUCCAUCAUAUCAUCAAUCCAACUUAACACACUUACGUUCAAUCUAUUCAAUCUAUCACAAAAUCAGUUGAUACUAUAACAACACACCAGACAGUCAAGAUAUAUAUAUAUAUACAUAACACCUUUCUCAGUUUACAAAUACAUUAUCCAUCGUAUCUACUUCUAUACCAGUAAGUUUACAAACACUAACUGUUGAGUUUCUACAGUAGAUUCUUGAAGAUGUGACUCUUGAACAGAUGGAUUCUCAUGGAUGAUCACAUGUUUGUUAUUUUGAUGGUCAUCAUUCUUGUCUAGAUUGUGAUGACUAGAAUCAUCACGAAGAUCAUCAUACAUGUUGUUAAUAUCAUCAAACAAUUGAUUCUGAUUCUAGUAUAGAAAGAAAAAAGGAUAAUAAAAAAAUAGUUACAAAAUGAUCGUGUAUCCUUAAGCAAACAAUCGUGUAGAAUAUCUAAACGGUUGUUUUACCAAGGGUGAUCGAUAUUUUAGAUGGGAUAUGCGAUCGUUCAUAUGUGAUAUGUGAUCGUGUAAAGAUAUAUCAAACCUUUGUUCUGUCAGAAGUCGUGCUAAGAAGAGUUGAAAGCUUGUAAUAAGAUCCAUCAAAACUGAAAGAUUUUACAUCAACACGUUCCUGACACAGUAAUGCAGUAUCAAUGAGCAUCAAAUUACGUGAGAUACGUAUUAGAAAAUAUCUAACUGCUCAGUUAAUUUUUUAUGGACAUCAAAUCACCUUUUUUCAAGCUUAAGGAAGGAAAUGUCGACACUAUAUAUGUCAGAGUUGUGCAUUGCAAUGGAAGUGCCAACACGAGGUGAUACAUGUGUGUCUGGGAUGUAAAUGCCACUCCCCGACUAGGACCAACAUAGACUUAGGGAGAAAGCAUGCUAGGAAUUGGAGUUGUGUCCUCAAUUUCUUCAAGGGACUUGAGCAUUUCUUCUUACACUAGAAUGUCUCCUGUUCAGAGAGUUUAUAGGAUUUCUCAAGGCCAUUUUUGCAUACUUAACAGCUCUUGACAACGGUAGAGAGUCUAACUCUACACUUUCAAGGGGUUCCAACUCCACCACUCGCUGAGCCAAAGAUAGAGACGAAUCAUUAAUGAUCCAGUAAGCAACAUGAAACCUUGUAAUUUUGGGGUUAACGGUAGUCCCUCCCAUUACUAGCUCAACACUUAAACGGAGUCUCCUCUAUAAAAUAUAAAAUAAUACAGACACAAAUAGUGAAUGAAAUCUUGUGACGUAACAAACACAAAUUUUAGGUAUACUGCAAUUUGACUAAAUAUUGAACAAGAAAACCCAAGGGAAUACACAAAAAUCCAACGUUUUUAGGGGUCAAUUUGGAAAAUGGCAAAACUACUUUUUCUUUUCAAUUUUAGCAAACAACAUUUUUUGCGCGUGCAUGGUAUUUUAUAAAAUACCAAAAUAUUCAACUUCUCCAACUAUAAUUAUUUUGUUUUUACGUUAUAAUUAAUUUAUGUUAUGUAUUUAUCAACUUUUAAUUAAUUUUUACUUGAAAUAGAUACAUUAACUCAUAUCAUAACUUUUCUCUUAAAAUCUCAGGACUCAAUUAAUUAAUUCAAUAUUUUAAUAACAUUAUUCAAUCUUAUUAAUUUCAAAAUAAUCUAAUUGAAUUUGAAUUUCAAAAUAACCAAAUUGAAUUUCAAAAUUACAAAAUUAUUAUUUUCUAGAAUUUGAGAAUCUCAACGAUAGAUUUUAUAUUAAAAUAAACUUAUCUCAAAAUAAUUUUAAUGACUUGAAUAUCAAGAUAAUUAAAUUAUUAUUUUAAAAAUUGGAAGAAAAGCACAAAAAGCGCACACGCCCACUCACGUACACACGCACGCGCGCGUAUACGCACACACACGCACACGCACACGCACAAAAGCGCACACGUGGACACUCACACCCACGCACACGUAGACAUACACACCCACGCACACGUGGACACGCGCAUACGCACACACGUACGCACUCACGCACACGCACGCACACACGCACAUAUGCACAAAGAUGUAUAAAUGAAUUAAAAUUAAAAAAUAACUACAAUAAUUUGACUUACUAACGUUAAUUAAAUUAUAAUUUCUAUCAAUAUUGGUUUAAAAGUGUCAUUAAUGUAAUUAUUUCAAUAUAAUGCACUCUUAUCCAAUUUUACGAACAAAAAACAAGUCGAAUAUGUACCAUUAGAUGACACUCUUUGUCAUAAGAGAUAUAGCAACGUUUUUAUGGGUCAUUUUGAAAAAUGGCAAAACUACUUUUUCUUUUAAAUUUUAGCAAAUAGAAUUUUUUACACGUGUCCAUGAUAUUUUAUAAAAUACCAAAAUAUUCACCUUCUCAAACAGUAAUUAUUUCGUUUCUACGUUGUAAUUAAUUUAUGUUAUGCAUUUAUUAGCUUUUAAUUAUUUUUUACCUGAAAAAGAUACAUCCUUUUUCUUAAUAUCUCGGGACUCAACUAAUUGAUUCAAGAUUUUAAUUUUAUUCAAUCUUACUAAUUUCAAAAUAACCUAAUUAAAUUUCAAUUUCAAAAUAACAAAAUUAUUAUUUUUCGAAAUUUGAGAAUCUCAACGAUAGAUUUUGUAUCAAAAAUAACUUUAAUUGAAUUUCAAAAUUAAAAAAUAUUAACUUGUUCGCACACAAGCACACGCGCACACGUGCACAACGCACGCACACACACGCACACACACCCAUCCACACACGCACACGCACACGCACAUAUGCACACACGCACAAAGAUGUGUAAAUUAAUUAAAGUUAAAAACAAAUACAUUCAUUAUGUUCAGAAAGAGUUUUAAACCAUGUUCAUUUGACUUAAUAACAUUGAUUAAAUUAUAAUUUCUAUCAAUAUUGGCUUAAAAGUGUCAUUCGUGUAAUUAUUUCAAUAUAAUGCAGUCUUAUCCAAUUUUACGAACAAAAAACAAGUCAAAUAUGUACCAGUAGAUGACACUCUUUGUCAUAAGAGAUAUAGCAACGUUUUUAUGGGUCAUUUUGAAAAAUGGCAAAACUACUUUUUCUUUUAAAUUUUAGCAAAUAGAAUUUUUUACACGUGUCCAUGAUAUUUUAUAAAAUACCAAAAUAUAAACCUUCUCAAACAGUAAUUAUUUCGUUUCUACGUUGUAAUUAAUUUAUGUUAUGCAUUUAUUAGCUUUUAAUUAUUUUUUACCUGAAAAAGAUACAUCAACCCAUAUCAUAACUUUUUUCUUAAUAUCUCGGGACUCAACUAAUUGAUUCAAGAUUUUAAUUUUAUUCAAUCUUACUAAUUUCAAAAUAACCUAAUUAAAUUUCAAUUUCAAAAUAACAAAAUUGUUAUUUUUCAAAAUUUGAGAAUCUCAACGAUAGAUUUUGUAUCAAAAACAAUUUUAAUUGAAUUUCAAAAUUAAAAAAUAUUAACUUGUUCGCACACAAGCACACGCGCACACGUGCACAACGCACGCACACGCACGCACACACACUCAUCCACACACGCACACGCACACGCACAUAUGCACACACGCACAAAGAUGUGUAAAUUAAUUAAAGUUAAAAAAACAAAUACAUUAAUUAUGUUCAGAAAGAGUUUUAAACCAUGUUCAUUUGACUUAAUAACAUUGAUUAAAUUAUAAUUUCUAUCAAUAUUGGCUUAAAAGUGUCAUUCGUGUAAUUAUUUCAAUAUAAUGCGGUCUUAUCCAAUUUUACCAACAAAAAACAAAUCGAAUAUGGAUCAGUAGAUCUACACUCUUUGUCAUAAGAGACAUAACAACGUUUUUAGGGUCAUUUUGAAAAAUGACAAAACUACUUUUUCCUUUGAAUUUUAGCAACUAGCAUUUUUUGCACGUGCAUGGUAUUUUAUAAAAUACCAAAAUAUCAACAUUCUUCAACUGUAAUUAUUUCGUCUCUACAUUGUAAUUAAUUUAUGUUAUGCAUUUCUCAGCUUUUAAUUAUCUUUUACUUGAAAUAGAUACAUCAACUCAUAUCAUAAUAUUUUUCUUAAUAUCUCGAGACUCAACUAAUUAAUUCAACAUAUUAAUAAUUUUAUUCAAUCAUACUAAUUUCAAAAUAACCUAAUUGAAUUUGAAUUUCAAAAUAACAAAAUUGAAUUUCAAAAUAACAAAAUUGAAUUUCAAAAUAACAAAAUUGAAUUUCAAAAUAACAAAAUUAUUAUUUUUCGGAAUUUGAGAGUCUCAACGAUAGAUUUUGUAUUAAAAUAACCUUAAUUGAAUUUCAAAAUUAAAAAAUAUCAACCUGUUCACUAUCUUUAUCUCAAAAUAACAUUAAUGCCUUAAAUAUCAAGAUAAUUAAAUUAUUAUUUUAAAAUUGGAAGAAACUCAACAUUAAAAAUAUUAACUUGUCGGACACAAGCAUAGAAGCACUGCGCACACACGUACACAUGCACACUUACACACACGCGCGCACACGCACACCUACACACAGACACCCACAGACGCACGAACCCACGCACACACACAUGCACACGCGCACGCAUGCACACACACACCUAUCCACACGCACACAAGCACACACACAUGCACAAACGCACACACGUGUACGCACAAACCUUAUCUCAAAAUAGUUCCUAUUUUUGCUGACAGUUUAUUUUUUGCCAUCGAUAGAGGAUCUUCCAAUAGACCUACGUGACGGUGUGUGUUGACAGCUUAAUUUUGUUGGCAAAAGAAAAGUUGAUUAGUUUUUGAAGAUUUACUGACGAUAUUUGUCAUCGACAAAGGGUAAAUUUCUUGUAGUGCAUGUACAUCAAACAUAUCAAAUUUGUUAAGUGUACCAAUGAAGUAUAACAAGUUUAUUAGUGGUGUAUCACGUGUAUCAAACUUAUUAGUGAAGUCUUUAAGUGUAUCAAACUAAUCAAGUGUAUCAAGGCCUCAGGGGUAUCAAGUGUAUCAAGAAGAAUCAAGUGUAACGAGAAGUAUUAUGUGGAACGAGAAGUAUUAUAUGUAUGAAGAUGUUUCAAGUGUGUAUCAAAAAGUAUCGAGUGUAUCAAUGAGUACCGAGUGCAUGAAUUGUAUCUAUCAAAUGUAUCAAGUGUAUCAGUAAGAAGUAUCAAGUGUAUCAAGGGUAUUAGGUGUAUCAGACGUGUAUAAGGUGUAUCAAAUAUACAUCAAUAACGAGGGCAUUUGUGACAUUUUACCUCUUGAUGUGUGAGUUGGUCUUUGUUUUUGUCAUUUUCUCAAAUAAUAAAGUAUGUGUUCUAUGGACUUAAUUAUUAUAACUUAUUUUGCCAUUUUCGCAAGUGUCCCUUAAUUGUAAUACAUGUAUAUGUGACAUAAUCUAAUCAAACUAACUCAUAAAUGGACUUAAUGUAUCAAGAGGUAUUAGGUGUAUCAGACGUGUAUAAGGUGUAUCAAAUGUACAUCAAUAACGAGGGCAUUUGUGACAUUUUACCUCUUGAUGUGUGAGUUGGUCUUUGUUUUUGUCACUUUCUCAAAUAAUAAGGUAUGUGUUCUAUGGACUUAAAUAUUAUAACUUAUUUUGCCAUUUUUGCAAGUGUCCCUUAAUUGUAAUACAUGUAUAUGUGACAUAAUAUAAUCAAACUAACUCAUAAAUGGACUUAAUCUAUCUCAUGGACCACGAAUUCUUCAAUUACUUGCAAAUUUGGUGAGUUCCUUCAAAUGGUGGGCGGAGAGCUUAAUUUUGAGAGAGAGGAAAAGUCGUGAAGAGUAUUUGCGAGAGAGGGGGGAACGUCGCCAGAGAGCAUUUGCGAGAGAGCUAAAGACAGCGACGAUGUGGGAUGAAGUAAGGUUUUUUUCGGUCAUUGUUCACAAGUGGGAUGAAAGCUUCGAAUUAUUUGUUUUAAAUCAAAAAACGUAUGAUUGAAGGAAAACAUUGAUUUUUAUUAGGGUAAUUUUUUAAUGACACAUAAUUUAUGCCAUUAUUUACAAUGCCAAAAUUUUGUCAAGAAAACUCAAUUUGUGUCACAAAAAAAUUUGUAUUUUUAUUUUUUUAACGACACAUUUUAUUCCCUCAUAUCCCUUUUUCUUGAUUUCAAGUGUCAUUAAAACUUAUAUUUCUAAAUAAAUUUAUUCGACGAAAGUGGCUAGAUUGGUGGGUUUGACGGCGAAGGCUUGUUGUGGGAGCAACGACAACAGUGGUUGGAGUGUGGAAUCGACGACGGCAAGUGGCAAAAAAUUGGGGGCAAGGGUUCUUCAUAACGACUCGAUAGCCCACUUCGAAUUUUUUUGAAAUUUGAGGUUUUUUCAUUUGAAAAUUUUUUUAAUGACAAAAAAAUUGACGUUAAUUAAUGACGCAAAAUUUGUGUUGAAAUAAAUUAAAUUGUGUCAAUAUGAUUGUUUUAAGAAAUAAUCCAUAUUUAUAUUUUCAACAACACAAUGUACCUCAUCCCACCUCUUUUUUCUUUUAUUUUCAACGACACAAUGUCUUGAUUAAAAUCCAUUUUUCUAGUAGUGACUGAAAAAAAAACUGGACAGAAUCAUAAUAUCUUUGAUAAUUAAAUCACCAGUUGGUUUGAACAUAUAUAAUCUUGGAUCUAUUCUAUUAUGAUAUGACCAUGGUACAUCAUGAACAUACAUUGACUAAAAAACUUAAAUUGAUGAGUGAAUGUAAUAAAUUUAAUAUUAAUUAUAUGAUCAAUACUUUACACAUGUAUAUUGGUAUAUCAGUCAAUAACAGUAGUAAGACAAAUUAUAAAAUAUAAGGGAUAAAAGUCCUACACAUGCAUGUAUGGUAUACUCUCUUGAUAGCAAAAUGCAUUUAUGUCAACUCAUGUUUGAAUGCAUUUAUGUAGGAAAUUCAAUAAAAUAAUUAAGAAACCUUGCAAUAUGUGAGAGAUAUACGAACUUCAAACAAAUUUUACAAGUUUCAGCAAAAAUUUUCAAACAACUUUUAAAGUUUAAGCAAAAAGUAACCGUAGGUAGGAAGGGGAGCAAAAGUGGGGUCUCGAAUUAAUUCUGAAAAAUUAGUAGGCUUUCAAAAUUUAGGUUCUAGAAGUAGAAUUAUUGCAGAAAAAUAAAUAAUUGCAUCAUUCAAAUUGAAUCAGACAUAUCAGGAUGUAUAUAUUCUCCACAACGUAUAAUGGAGUAUAAACAUAAAGUUUCUAUAUACAAAGCUAUGUAUCUCUACCCUUGACUUCUCUUUCUCUCUUUCUACCUUUUUUAUCCUUUCUUUCUUCCAUUCACUCAAUACACUUGCAAGAACCUUCAUUUUUUUGUAUUUAAAUUUUCUUGGCACCAUCCUUUUUUUUAAUUAUCAAGGCUUUGUUAUUGUGUACCAGUAUUGUGUCGUGCCUCCUUCACUUCUCAUCAUCAUUUUCAUGUCACAUCUCUACCUUGUCAAUUUUCGUUUUUCACUCAGCUUUCUUUCUUCUUUUGUCUUCACUACUUUCUUCGCUCCUUCUUCUCAAGCUCUAACUUUUGCUAUUAUCAACCAGUCUCAAAUGACCAUUGGAAAACCUAUAGCCCACUGAGAGGCAGCCAAUAUAGUAAUGUCUCUAAUGAUAAACUCCAAUGAAAUCAAAAGUUCUUCUUUAAGAUUUGGAAAAAUAUAUUAGAUAAACCCGGACGUGGUGAACGCGGUGAACGCAGACGCACGGACGGUGAACACGGCAGAAGUUAGAGAUCCUCAGAGAGAACUUGGCAUUUUCGAAUGCGGUAGAGACAAGUCUAGGGCUUCAAAGGAUUCAACCCAAUAUUUUCUUUAUAUAUAUAUAUAUAUAAUAUAUAUUAUAUAUAUAUAAAUAUAUUUAAUAACACUUGACGUUUUCAAAAACGUCAAGAAAAACGAUCUUACUUAACGUCUAAAAAAACAUCAAGAAAUUUAAAAAAUAACUCUCUCUGGCUUUUUAUAAAAAUUCUUGACGUUUUAAAACAUAAAGAAUUUUUAAGAUAUUUCUUGACGUUUUUAAAAUGUCAAGUAAAAGUACAUAUUACUUGACGUUUGAAAAUUUUGAAGAAUAUUGAAUAUAUAAACAUUCUUGACGUUUAAAAAUGUCAAAAUUUUUAUAGAUAUUUCUUGACGUUUUUAAAACGCCAAGAAAAAAUACAUAUUAGUUGAUGUUUAAUAAACGUCAAGAAAUCUGAAAAUUGACCUACCCGCCUUUUCGUAAAAAUUCUUGACGUUUUAUCUUUGGAACUACUCCUUUCUUGACGUUUUUUUUGAAAAAAAUGUCAAGAAAGAAAAACAACAAACGUCAAGAAAGGCCUUUUUUGUAGUAAUGACAUACAUAAAUAUAUAUAUAUACAUAUAUAUAUAUAUAUAAUGAAUUAAAAUGGUUUUGUUGCUUUACUGUUUUACUCUAUAAAGGAAGAGCAUUAUAAAUAUAUUAUUGAGGAAACAUUUUUUGAAAUGACUGGUUUUGGAAGUGUCAUUAGAUUUUUAGUUAGUUAAGCACAUUUUCCUCCCAAAUAGUAGUCGAAAUACAACUUUUUUUAAGAAGAAGAAACCGAAUCAUUCAAACUAAGAUAAUCCUAGGAUAAGAGUCAUUAUCUAUUAACAUAGAGCUAAAGUUACAAGGUUGAAGGCUAGAGGGAAGCCCGAAACAACCUAAUCUAACAAAGCUUAAAGUUAAGAGUUGGUAGUAACAUCAUAUUGGUUACAAGAUGAAUGACGCCUAGACCAAACUCCGAUCAAGUUACAUAUGUCUUCCCACAAGUAAACAAUAAACCUUGAUUUAUCCUUAAAAAUUCUAUUGUUUCUUUCUAUCCAAACAGUCCAAAGUAAGCCAGUUAUGGAGGGAGGAAUACACAUUAGAAAGCUCAGUUAUGGAUGGAGGAAUACACAACUUUUUCUCAUGGUCAUUUUCCUCGUGGGCAUUAUCUUCAUGUUUCUUCUUAUUCCGACUAAAAUACAAGCACAAAUUAUUCUUCGCCUUCGUAUAGGUUUGUUUGAAGAAGAUUAAAAAAGUCCUUAAUUUAUCUCGACACUUCCAAAACCAGAAUAUAAUACCCGUGCUACAUAAAUCCCUCUUUCCAAAUAGUCAAACAUGAACUAUCCAUGAAUAUCUUGAAUAAACAAGAGAAACCCUAACUAAACCCAAAUAGAAAAUACGCUGCAAUCUAAAAUAUACUUAAAGAAACAAAAAGAAGUUUUAAUGAUGUGGGUUUUUUACUGAUCUUCUUCAACAACAAAAUAACUCAACGCCACAGUUCAAUUUUUCCUUCCACGAAUUGGUUUUUAAAGAGUUUUCACCGCGAAUUUAUCUUUUUGGUUCAACAAGUAAACAACAUGUGAAUCCCCAAAUGCAAGGUUUUAUUAAAAAAUUAAAAUAUAAUUUUUUUAAAAAAAUUAUAAUACCUAAUUUUUUUUUAUAUAUUUAUAACCUAAUUUUCUGUCAUUGCAUACUUGAGAGAAAUAUAUUUUCAAUUAGCAUAAUAACCUUUAUAUAGUAAAUUAAAUUUGUAGAAUGAGAAAAGACCUUAGAUCCAAAAAAGUUAUUUAUUUAUUAUUGGAGUGAAUUGUCUAAUUAAUGUAGUUAAUGGAUGGUUUUGUAACCAUAAAAAUAAUGAAAAUAAUUUUCUAAAAGAAUGAAUGAAAAUUUGGAAAGUUAAAAGGUUUUAGGAAUUAAAAAAAGGGUGUAACAUUAUAAAAGACUACCAAAUAUACUGUAAGAGACAUGCAUUAAAGAAGCUAAGGCAUGCAUACUACCAAAUAUACUAUAAAUAAACCAGAAUUCUUUUUAAGAAAUUAAACAACUAAUUAAAUAUAAAGAAGAAAGAUUAGAAAAUGAAUGAUCAAACAAACUAUGACUCAUUUAUUUUUGACAGGUUCGGCCAGUAUCACCUGACAAUUCAUUUUCACCAAGAGAAUAAACAUGAGUAGCCUUGGAAUCAAGUUCCUCCGAUAAAAGCCACGGAGUUGAUGGGUUAGAGACAGAACCAGAAUUUGAGUUCAACGAUCUGGAUGGAAAAUUCUGAAACUAGCAGCAACAAGAAGUUAAGAUAACGAAUUAUUUUCAAUAUAGAAAGGCUAAUUGUAAGAAGUUGUUAAUGAAGUGUCCAAAUGCAUUAUGGUAAUAUUGGGUGCAGAUUGUUUGGAAGUUUUAUCCGUGUGCUGUGAAGCACCACAGAGUUGAAGCAUAUGAAACCAGUGUUUAUCUGACAAAAAAUAAUGUCAUGAUCAUUGCCUUUCCAUUCCAUAAAUUUAUGGAUAGCAAAAGAAAGAGAACUCUCAACACAUGAAUCACCAUAAAGACACACAUGACAACAUUAUUUUGGAUGAAGUUCUAAUAUUGCAACCAUGGAGGAAAAAUCAGCAAAUCUUAAAUAGAUGUAGUAGUCCAAAUGAUAAAAGUUUGUCUCAAGAUAAUAUUUCAGUAACUGCAGAUGCAUUGUGCUGAAUCUAACUCUUGUGUUUCACGGUAAUGAACAAGGACAAUGUGUUCAAAGGUCCUGAACAAAAAGCAGAAGCAAGUCAUAAUUAUAUAAGUAGAACACGAUAUACUGCCACUGUCUAAUUUCAUUUUUCUUUGCUUGUGGCAUGAUGGGGAUAGACCCCACUGAAACAACUGGUAGCAAGCAAUUUAACAAUUUUCUUUCAACCAUAACAUACUUAUCUAGGAGCCAAUAACCCGCGAACAAAGGUUGGGCUAUCUAGUCCGUGGCAUAGUAUACAUGUAUCCUUUCUACAUUACCAACCUGCUGAAGAGAAAGAAAAGAUUAUCAAAGCACACCUUUCCUUGGUUAUUAAGGCUGUAAAAGAAUGAAAAUUACCAUAAAUCUAAACAUAGUUAAUAUUAGACCAUUGAACAACUUAUAGAUUCAAAAGGAAAGACUCAAACCACCAAUAGACUGGUUAAUCAUUUAAAAUGAUCUCCAACAACAUGAUACGCAGUAUAUCGUGCUAGAUCCAUAAUUACCAGAUGUGGACUCCUAUGGUAAUUUCAUUGAUGAUACGCAGCUAGUAGGCAAGAUUAUGAAAUGAAGACGGUAUGUGAGACGAUUGAAAAGAUCAAGAUGAUAAAAUUAUAGGGAUUUGAAUUUAUAUCUUAAGAACACCAGAGUCAAAUGCUUAAGAUGAUUAACUGUGUUAAAUUUAACUCUAUAAUAUAUAAAUUAUUAGCAAAAACAGUAGAAAUUACUUCAAAUUUGUAGAGAGAACAUAUAAAUUAUAUUCUAGAGAAAGAGCAUCUGAAUUAUAUUCUACAGAAACACGAGCCCAUAGUAUAUGUACUGAGUAGCAAUGACAGUGAAAAAGGGAAUAGUAAGUAACUAAUCUCAUAAACCCCUUUCUCACAUCUAACCAAGUUCUUUCACAACAUGCAAAAGCAUCAAAAUAUUUAAGAAAACUUCCAAUAUUGCAUUUGGAACUCAUUGAUUGACUUCAACGUUUAAGAGUCCUAAAAGACACAGCUUACUUUCUCACCUCUCACCACUAAACCUAUGGCAACAUCUUUUUAUAAGAUAUUAAGCUAAUCUUUAGAUUGUUUACCGAAUAAUCGUCUAUUGUUUUGUAAUUGAUCCCACCAAGCGCUUACGCCACCUUGAAGUUUGAGAGCAACUAAUCGAACCUUCUUGUGUUCGGGUGUAUUGGCAUAGUCGAAAAAAAUUUCUACGUUCUUGAUCCAAUCAAGAAACUUCUCCACGUCCAUUUGACCAUUGAAGGUAGGGAGAUCCACUUUCAUACGUAUUUCUUGAUCUUCUUGAAAGUAUGGUCGAAGUCCAAGCCUUUGUUGAGGUUCUUGAUGAAUGUUCAGCAAGUUGUUCAUCGGAAGAGUCAGAAUCGUUUAAGAAAUUUCCAAGUACGUUGUUUCCAUACAAUCGAUUAUUGUUGAUGUGAAUAGGUUGAUUUCUUAGUAGUUCUUGGUUUACAACAGGGUUUAUUGGUUUUUCUUGUCUUUCUUGGUUUGCUGCAAUUGGGUUUCUUGGGGGCUGAAUUGCUUCUUCUAAAGGUUGGACAUGAAAUCGGGUAAAAAGGUUUGUUAAUUCUACUAACGAUUGCUGUAUAUUCGAUUGCCCUUUUCGAAGUUCUUCAAUAGCUUGUUCUACCAACUGCAAGCGUUGGUUGAAGGAGGCUUCCGCGUCCAUGGAUAAGAGUGGUAGGAUCCAAGUUUUUUUAGGGAAGAGUGAGCUAGGAUCACGCUCUGAUACCAAUUGAUGCAGUAAUUGCAAAGCUAGAAAUCUUUAUGUAUAAUGCCUCUUUUUUUAUGUCUUAUUAAUGAAAAUGAGAAGCUUUUUUAUAGGCUGGAGAUUACAAGAGUUGUUAAACUAACUUGGGGUUGAGUUAGUUUAACUUGGAGUUGAGUUAGUUAUAACUAACUCAAGAUACAAAAUUGGUAAUUCAAAUAACUAAUCCUAAACUAUAAAAAUGGUAAUUCAAACCCCUCCUCUAGGAUAAAACUCAAGAAACAUCAAGAAGGUAGAUGUUCUACAUCAAAGUGUAGAGAACGAUUCAAAAUCCUUGGUGAAAGGAAUGAAUGUUAACUAAUGUGUGUUUAUGUGAAAUUGUUAUGUUAUGAGUAUGUUAAGGAUAAAGAAUGGUUUAUGCGAGAUAAAAUUAUUUGAUGUUGUUUAUGCGAAAUGAUGUCUAUGAAAAGGUAUUGCGAAAAGGAUUUCAUAAAACCUUAGUCUUUUAGACAUUCUUUCAAAAAUUCAUCUUCCAAGAUGAGGUGUUUAGGCCAAGUAGAGAAGAAGGUUGAAGGAUUUGCAGCGAGAUGACCAGACGUUUUGAAAAUAGUUAAGCAUUGGUUGUUUGGUCAAAGUGUUGUAAUUAUGUAUCAAACACAUGUUAUUAAUAAACAUCUUGGUAGGUAUUUAUUAUACUAAAGUCAAAGUGUUGGACUUUAGUAUUGCAUGGACAUACAAUUUUGAAUGAAAAAUCCUUAUAAAUGGGGCCUUUGAACUCAUUUGAUGGGUUGGCUAUUAUAUUUGGGCUUUCACACCAAAUGGAAUUUCUUUUUCUUAUUUACUUAAAAAAAAAAGAAAAUUUACCACGCCCAUUUUUUUCAUCUAUUUCUCUCGUCCGGUUCUUUCAUCCAACGGGUCCCACAACUCGAUUAUGAGUCUAGAGGAUACUAAGUCAAACUUAGUGGUUGUUCGAAUAAAACGCAGCUUCAAAUGUAAGUAUUCUAAAAACCUUAUUUUUUGGUUUAGUCUCGUUAACUAAGCCCAAUUAGGGUAGAAUUUCGAUUCUUUUUCUGUUGUGCAUGUCUUAGUUCUAUCAGUAACUCCUUUCAGGGUGAUAGCUCUCAUCAGCAGACUUUCCAUUGCUGGUUUCUUCCUUAGUCAUCAUUGUAUUGUUGUUUUCCACAAUAGAUAGGGUGAGUUGCAGUUUUACAUGAAAUGCACUGCUCAACCCACACUCUUUUCUCACUAGUUCCUUAUUCUCAAUCUUCAACGCAAAUUUCAUCAUCUGGGCCAACCCAAUCGGUUCCACGGUUUCCACUUCCAUUUUUAUUCAUGGGCUAAGCCCAAUCAUCAAAGUCUCCUCUAACACUACCGUUUGAAGAAAUGCUACCAGAGCUAAAUAUCGAUCAAAUCGGUUGCGGUAUUCUUCUACAUUCAUUUCUGUUUGAUUGAGAAAAAUCUUCCAACCAAAGUUCCUUCUCGAAUUGAUCGAAACUGUACAAGCAUUCGUUCUUUCAGGUCAGCCCAAUUCUUAAAAACUUCCAACUCUUCUUGUGCUUGGUACCAAUCCAAUGCCAGAUCAUCAAAACUAAUAACGCCUGUGGUUAAUUUCUCUGAAUCGGUAAGAUCAUGUAUCUUAAAGAAGCGAUAGGCUCUAAAUGUGAGACCCAUUUCUAAUUUGAGUAAUGAAGUAAAAUUGGCUAGGUAUUAAGAAUUUGGCGUUUGAAUAAAUCAACGAAAAGGAUUAAGCGAUAAAAAAAUUUAUGGUUAAGUAUACGUUAUUGCGAUUCAGUGGGUAGUUCGCGAAGGAAGUUGUGCGACCCAUUUCUAAUUUGAGUAAGGAAGUAAAAUUCGGCUAAGAAUUAAGAAGUUGGUGUUCAAAUAAAUCCAUGGAAAGAUUAAGUGAUAAGAUCUUUUACGGUUAAGUAUACUUUUUUGCGAUAAGUGGGUAGUUCGCGAAAGAAGUUGUGCGAUAAUGUAACACCCGAACUCUAAGGUAAUUAAUUUAAUCGGACCAUUCGAUAUUUUUACUCUUAAUUUUUGUUCGACGUCAUUUUGUUGUUUUGUCUUAAAAAAAAAAGUGUUGGAAAAGUCUUUCAUAAUAAUAAUAUAUUAUUAUUAUUAUUAUUAAUUAGCAUAAAAAAAAGGAAAAGAAAAAGAAAUUAAAAUAUCUUUUUCCUCUCUCCCCUCUCUCACGCGUGCGACACCCUCUCUCCAUCUUUUUCUUCUUCUCUUUCCUGUACCCUAACCCAGCCGACCAUCAUCUUCUCCCCUUCCCUUGCCGUUCAGAUCCAUGGCCUCCGCCCACCGCCGCGUGACCCUCUGCCCAGCCCCGCCGCGUGACCUCUGUCUCCGUCGAAGCCAAGUCCAGCCGUCGUCCAUUCCUUUCCUCUCUUCUUCUCCGUUCGUGAAGCCCAGUCGCCGCGUCAGAUCGUCGAUCGAUUUUGAGGCAGCGCGCACGCCUCCUUCUAGCCGCGCGUUUCCUCUUCUUCCAGCAACGUGUUUUUUCUUCUAACCGCGAUUCACAAACCGACGUACACUCUAAUCUGUUUGCACGAUGGUUUUUGUUUAGAAUCGAUUGCCGCUGCCCCUAUUUUUACUGAGAUCCGUCGAAGUAUUGUUGGUAAGAUUGAAGUUAUGAAAUUGUAGUCGUUUUCAAAACAAUUUAAGUAUGGGUUGUGAUGUUUUCAAGGUGUUCAAACGUUACGGAUGGGUUAAUUGACUAAUUUGAUAAAUUAUUCUUGAAGGUGUGAAAGGUAACCUUGGAUCACUUAAAUUCACAACCAAUUUGUGAAUUUUGAUUUCGAUUUCGUUUGCCCUUAUUUGGAUUGUUUCGUGGACGAUAGUUGAUUAAGGGAGCUUCCCUAACUUUGAGGUAAGGGACUUUCUACUGGACUCACCUAAAGUUUUUGAGUUGUGUUGGACUGUAUGGAUGAUGAUUAAGAUGUACACGUUUGGUUGCAGACUAAAUGUUUAGUGUAUGUUGUAUUUGACUGGAAACAUAUAUAUAAAUACAUUGAUGUGUGAAUUGAUGUGGAUUGCCGAAAGUAUACAUGUGAAUGACUGAAAUUAUGCUUAUGUGUACAUGAUGAUAUUAAUAGAUUGUGCUGUAUAAAGAUUUGGAUGUGAACUAGUGAAUUUGUUUCGGUUGAAUGUGGAUUAUACUGAACUGUGGUUUGCGCUGGUAAAAAUGAGGGGUGUUGUGACUUUGUUGUUUACUUGACAGAUGUAUUAAAAUGUUAUCAACGACCUUCGAACUUAAGUGAGAUAGGUUGACUGUUAGAAUGUUGAGUGAAAGAACUUUAUAUUUUGAAGUAACUGAAAGAUGUCAUAAAUUACCGUAAAGAUGGUUAGAAUGGAUUGAGGGGAAAAAUUGUUAGUUUUAUUGGGAUGUAUGCCUUGUAGGUGUCCUACGGGAUCACCAAUUUUUAUGCGACCUUCGGAGCAUUAGACUGAUAUGUGUUUCUGCAGAACACUAGACUGAAAUGUACGUCCCUCGGGGCGUUAGACUGAAAUGUGCAUCCUACGGGAUCACAAGACUGCGACUGUACAGGGUGUCCCAAUAGAAUGUUAACAAUUUAUUUUCCCCUGACGGGACCAGUAGAGGGUCUCUUACUGGGUAUUUUUAUACUCACCCUCCUUAUGUUUAAUUUUUCAGGCAAAGGUAAUAAAGGCAGCAAACCGGCGAGGGGCAGGAAGGAAGCGUGACCGCCACAGGGGACACUUUAAAAUUUUGCUUCCGCUUAGUGAUUUAUAGUAUUAUUUGUAUUCGAACGUGAGACUGUUUAGAAAAUUUUGAAGUUUUAAAGUAUUCAAAGAUUUGAAACUUUUUAGUUUUAAAUUUUCAUGUGAAUUUUAGUAAUUUAAAACUGGGGCCCAAACAAACAAAAUAAAUUUUGUUCUUUUGAGGUUUUAAAUUUUAAUUAACCAAGGUCUUUUGUCAAAAGUUAAUGACCUCGACUUAGGUAAAAAGUUGGGUCGUUACAGAUAAGAAGCGAAAAAGUCUUUGCGUAAGUUAAGAAAUGAAAGUUUUGAGUGUUAGACUAGGAGUUUUGGGUGGUCUUCGCGAGAAGAACCAAGUGUUUCGUGGAGAAGAAGUCUACGAGGAAGCCUUGGAGUUUAAGUUCGUGAUAAGAGUUUUAUGCGAGUAAAAGUUGGUUAGUUCAGGUGGAACGUUUCUUAUAAUAAAAAUAUAAUCAAGCGAUAAGGUUAUUCACGAGAAAUGUUAAGUGGUUGAAUUUAUUCACGGUUUGGGUUAGGCGGGGAGCAAGGUUUGUAAAGAAAAUGUCAAAUCUGAUUUGACAUGGGUUAACAUGUAAGAUUAAGGAUUUGAGCAUGACUAGGUUAAAUAUUAAGGAUUUGCAUGACUAAGUUAGUAUAAGGGAUCUAUAAAAUAGGAGAAUUUAGGUAACUAAGGAGGGGAUGACGAGAGUUUUGUUGAAAUGUUAAAGUGUUGUUGGUUUAGCCACGCGAAAAGAUGGUUGUGAGAAGGACUUCUUUAGUGAAGUUUGGUGAGUGCUUUUCAGUCAAAAGAAUUUAUGUUAAGAAACUUUAUUACGAUUUCUCUUUACUGAUUUGAAAGAAGAAUUCAGAUGAGAAUGUUUCAGAAAGAUUUCUACGAAAAGUUAUGUUUUCAAGCAUUAUUUAUAAUAUUAAAGCUUGAUUUGAUGACUAUGAUUUCAAUACUAUGUUUCUUUGAGAUGAUGCUAACUUUUGUGUGCACAUAAAGAGUGAAGGCCACCAUGGAGUGUACAAACUACAUGGUAAUAAGAAGCUGACUUAUGCAUUGAAAUGAGCGUAUAAAGCUUAGCGGUAUAGCAACAAAGACGAAUUUGUAUGUUCUCAGAUGUUGAUACAGUAGUCUAAACGCGAGGUAAUGAGACCAAGCGUAGAGAACGAUUCGGGAUCCUUGACAAAAUGAAAUGAUUUUUUAAGCAUAAAGAAAGGUUUAUUCGAAAUGAAAUAAUUUUUCGGUAUAUUUAAAUGAUUUGAUAUUAUUUUUACAAAAUGAUUAUGAAAAGGUAUUGUGAAAGGUUUUCAUAAAACCUUAAAGGAUUUAAAAAAAAAGUGGACCAUUCAACUUAAUUCCCAUCCACUAUCCUCUUGUCCAACAUGAAACUUUAUCUUAGUAAAACUUCUUGAUCCACUAUUUUACAAAAAUAUUCAAAACAAUACCAUACUACACCAAAUGUGAUAUUUUGGUAACACUUAAAAUGGUCAGAAAUACCAUUUUCCUGACUUUUUUUUCAUCGACCAUUAAAGAAAAAGUAUAGAUGAUGUUUCACAAAAACUUCCAAACCAUUGUGUUAGUUAUCGUUUUGGAUGAGGGUUGGGGUAGAGCAUCAAUACUCAAAGGUUGUUAAGAAUUAAGACCUAAGACUUGAAAACGAAACCGCCUGCCUGGUUGACAACAACACCAUCCCACUAGAGUGCACAAUGAUGAUUUAUUGCAUUAAGAAGAAGAUGGCAGUUAACCUUAGCGCCAUAAUCAGAACCUCAAUCCUCCCUUUGAUGAAAGCACCUAAAGGUGUCAUGCCUUUCCCCUCUACCACAUUGAAGCUCUUUGUCUAACACUACAAGAAAUGAGGACUCUCUCGAUGCAUAAAAUCAUUGGGAGAUAUAUAAAAAGCGUCAGAAAAGGCUUUUCUGACGCACUAAUAUACGUCGGAACACAAGUGAGGAAAAUGUAUCGGGAGAGGAACUCCGAUGCACAAUGUUGUGCGUUGAGGGUUUCUAGACAUCUUCCGACGUUGUAUGAACGUCGAAGAUGUUGUCAAUAUAGCAUCGAGAGAUGUCUAGGAACCAUGCGUCGGGAGAUCCUCUAUUUUUUUUUAAAAAAAAUAACUUCAUUUAAUUCCUAAAUUCAAAUUGAAAAUUUUAAAUUCAAACUCAACUUCAACACUUCAACCUCAACUUCAACACUUCAAUCUCAACUUCAACACUUCAAAUUCAAAUUUCUAAAACCUACAACUAAUUCAAAAUUCUAACAACACUUGAAAUUAAAUUUCAUUACUAAAACUUACAACUAAUUCAAAAUCUAAAUACUAAAGAAAUCUAAAAUCUAACACCUAAAACAAAUUUGAAAUCUAAAUACUAAAACUAAUUAACUAAAACAAAACAAUAACUAAACUAAACCACUUACCGAUGGCGACGACGACGGGACGACAACAGGGACGACAAUGGUGAUGACAAUGCCCUCUUCUUCUCAAUCUUCCUCUCGGUCUCCCUCUCCCUCUCUCAUUUUCUUUCUCUUUAUGUUUCCUUUAUGUAAAGAAUGGAGUUAAAAAAGACAGAGAACUCCUGACGCACGACGAAAACGUCGGGAAUAGCACCCUAUUCAUGACCUGAUUUGUUAAACGUCAGAAAUCCCUAAACAUAUUCCCACGCGAUUAAUGAUACGUCGGGAAUCCCUAAAUCUAUUCUCAACGUUGCUGCCACACGUAAGAGGAAGGCGUUACAUACAAUUAAUGAUCUGCCCUUCCUCCGACGGUUCCUAAGCUUUUAGCUUUUCUGCAAUCACCCCUUAUGCAUGUUCUCAGGCGAAUCUCAACCAAACCAUAACACUCCAUCAAAAUAAAGAAGAAGAGAGACACCUCAAAACCUUAAAUAAAGUUAAGGGAGAAGAAUGGAAUGACAGAGAAGAAGAAGAGGCUUCUCCGCUGCCACCACUACUCAAGAGGAGAAAUGUCCACGAUGACGCGUCUAACUCGUAUAAAAAGGAAAAAAGUCGAAAGCUAGACGUGGCCAUCGACCCUAAACCUCUUGCAAUCUGACCCCUAACUCUCUCAUUGCCUCCUCCAAAAUCCAAAUCCUUCAAUUCCAGUCCUCAUCCAAAAAUUGAAACUCCCCCUCAUCAAUCUUACCCAAGUCCUCUCGCAUGUCUAUUAUCCUCUCACCACCAAAUCCCCCAUCAUUAUAACAACAUCCUUCACCUCACGACCUGACCGAACAAGCCCUUACCCGAUCAAAAGGGCAUUGUUAGCGAAGAAGAAUUCCUUAGGGUUGAGGAGGAAGACCUGCAUCACAUUCCUCUCCCUCCGCACACUACUAUACGUAAUUCCAAGGAGGAAGACUUACAUCUCGCGUGUAAACACCGAUACCCAAUAAUCCUUAAUUCAUCUAAAGAACUCAAUAGGACAUUAGGGGUUGAUGUUAGGAGAAAGAUGGUUUAAGAUUGGAUAGUUUAGUUGAAGUGUUAUGGAAGAUGUGUUAAUAUUUUUAAGAUGAUAAAAGAAAAGUGUCAUCGUAACAAAGAAAGGCCUAAAGGGUGUUCGAAAAUUGGCUAAGUGUUGGCUAGGGCAUGUUGCAUACUCUAGGCGGCCAAAAGUGUCAAGCGAACCUCUAAAGAGACAUGUUGGGUGGCCAAAGGUUGAGAUGUGGUAUGGCCGAAAGGUGUCAAGACAACCUCUAUAAGACAAGGCUAUAUGACCAAGGGUAUGCGCUAGGCAAGGAAGCUAAGCAUCUAGGAAAUGUCAAGAAACUCUAAAGAAGUUAGAACGUGGAUAAGGAAUGUCAUGCAACAAAGAGGUGGGCUAUGUGGACAUAGGUCAUGCGGCCAAUGGGGCAAUUCAACCAAAUGCUAGUCAAGAUGGCAUGGUUUGUUGAAGGCAUUGAGGGAUGUUUGGGAGAUUAGGCGAGAAAAAAAAGUCUUAGGCAUUCUUGGCAGUAAGAAUUUACUAAAGAACCCUCAUAGAAAAAGGGAUAUGCGUCCAAGGAUGACUUAAGCAAUAUGAGGUAAGAUGUGCGGUAGAGUACAAGUGGACAACAUACAAGAUACCUAAGUUUUGCCAAAUAAGUGUCUUGCAUGAGUUGGAAAGUGGCAAGUAUGGGCGUAAGAGGUGAGAAAAAAAGGUUCAACCAAAGAGCAUGCAAGGAUCACUAUAUGUACAACUUUGGACGAAUUAUGUUAACAAUCAACUUGUGUUAAUUGGGUAACUCUACUUCGAAAAUCUCCUAAAUUGAGUGUAGUAUCAAGAGAAAGGCUACCAAGAAGAAAGGCAUUGAAGUGAAGAAAGACUCAAAGGUCAUUUUCAAAAAAAAAAAAAAAAAAACUUGAACAAUGUAGAGUAUUUUGAGCUACAUAACUCAAUACUUGGAAUUUGUUAGUGACACUUUGUGGUAAGCUAGUGAAGACAUUCUAAGUAAGUUUGUAGAAGGAAUCUUAUUGAUUUAAGCUUCAAAGUCGAGUUAAGUUUCUGGUAGAAAAAUCAUAUUUCUAGACAAGGCCAUGGGUGGGUUGAUUGCCAGGAUGACAAGGUGAGAUGAGCGUGUGUUUUGAGCGAAAGAGGUUAUUUAGGCUUGGGACAUGCAAGAAGCAUGUCCUGGCAUGAUCAAGCAGCCUGAGCCACGCGUCAUUACACACUCUAUUAUGAAAGUUGAGUAUAUUGCUACUUGUGAAGCAGCAAAAGAAGCAGUUUUGGUGAGGAAGUUCUUGCAUAAUUUGGAAGUUGUUCCAAACAUGAACAUGCCCCAUCACUUUAUAUUGUGAUAAUAGUGGGGCAUAUUACUAAUCCAUUUACAAAGACUCUCAUGGCUAAAGUGUUCGAGGGUCUUCUAGAAAGUCUAGAUCUGCGAGUUAUGUACAUUAGGUAAUCUAGGAAAAGUGGCAGAUGUGUAAUGGGUAUGAGGAUGCCCUAGUUUAUUGUAUUUGUAUAUACACAUUUUAUGUAAUACACUUGUACAUUUUACCAUUUUCAAUGUUAGAGGAUUACUUUAUUAUGAACAUCCCAAAGAGACGAGAGUUUUAGUCCAAGUGGGAGUUUGUUGGAAUUUAUGUCCUAAAACUCGUAGAUUGUAAAUAUAAUCCAUUGACCAUUGUUAAUAAAGUGUUAUUAUUGUAAUAAUUGUUAUUGAUUAUAUUAUUAGUUUUGUCUUAAUAACUCAAAUCCAAUAAACUAACAUCCUAAACUGUUUAAUAAGUAUUGAAUAGUAUGUAGAGACAUACAGGGAUCAAUGUUCGAGAUCAGCUUAAAGGGUCUAUAGUAUACGGAUAAGACUGGGUACCUUUAUCCUGGUAACAUUAUGAAUACGACUCACUUUGUAUUUGAUACAAAUACAAUGAUCCAAUGUGUUCAUGUAGUUGACAUGCGAGUGAAGGUAUCCUAUGCAAUGAGAUUGCAAUAGACUAGACUGUGAAAUAGUAACCACUUGGUGUUACUACAUUAACUAGUUAGGUUUCUAUUUCACUAGGAUGACCUAGAUAACUUAGUCUUAAUCUUGAGUGUAUUAUGAACUCAAUGAUCUUGGAUGAAUUUGACUUCAAAUACAAACUUGGAUUCCACAACCUAAACCAAAAUAAAAUAAUAUAUCAUGUUAAGAUGGAUUCACAUAGCAACAUUUUAUCAAAUGGUUGCAAUGUUUCAAAUAAGCAACAAUUAAAAUUCACAUAUCGAUUUGGCAUCUAUAAAUAUACAAACUAAAAAGUACCUAAAUGUCAAUUAUUUACCCAAUAAGGCUAACUAAGUAACCAACGUCUAAUAUGUUUUGCAAUGAAAAAGGUUGCCAUAUUGUUAAUUUGGCCAUAUUGUGAAGGCAACCUCUUAGAUGUGUUUGUGAGAAAGGAAAGAAAUACCAAAAUAAGUAUGGACUAAGAUAGUAUCAAAUAAAGUUAAAGUUGAAUUUUAAAGCUCUAUUUUUUUCAAGAUAGAGAAAUUUCAGCUAAAGAGGAAAACACUAAGGACAACCAAGCAAAAAAGUCUAACAAAUAUCAAAAGAGAACAUGCAGGAAAGAAAGAAUGUAAAUAAGGUUUUAUCCGCACCAAGCAAAAAAGUCUAACAAGUAUCAAAAGCUUCAUAAGUUGUACUAGAAUUCAAAGCUCUAAACUCUAAAGAAUGUAAAUUUCUUUGAAGAAAUUUGUGUAUAAAGGUCACACAGUUGAAAAUUCAAUACCUUUUCAAGAAUGUUGUUGAGAAGAUUAUUGUGAUGAAUCUUUGAAUCCAAAUUAUGGAGACAAGAUAAAUAAAUGAGUUCUGAUUCUAACUGACUGAAUGAGAGUUUAGAAAAUAAGAACAUUGGAGUUGAAUUAUCAGCAUUUAUUUUAAUCAAACUUACGAUAGCAAACCAAAUUAUAGAGAGAGAUCAAAUGCUAGGAUAAAGGAAUAAUCUUACAUUUGGUGAGUUCCCAAAUGUUGUGGUAGUCACGAGAGUUAUUCCACUCGAAUUGUCUUAGACAAGAGGCUUCCAUUCAGCAAGUACUGGUGAGAAUUAAAGUGGAAUGACAAACUUAAAAACACCUAAUCUUUAACAAACUUUUCCGACUUUUUGCAAUUAUUUUUUAACACAAGAUAUCAAAACACACUUAAAAACCAUAACAACCAAUUACCAUAAAACGGUGUCCAAUAACAAUAAUUGGGUCAACCCAAACAUCAUCAAAUUCUUGGGAAAGGUUGUGGACUAGACCUUCACCAUCUUGCCCCUAAAACAAGUUAAAGCUUAAGGAAAGAACACAGUAGAAACAAAAAUCAUAAACUCAUCAGUUAGAUAGUAUUGGUGGUCAAAACCUCAAGGUCUCACUUCUUCCAUUUUAUAUUACCAAAUUUGAAAAUGAUUUUUAAUAUAUGAUCAUUACUUGAAACAUGUUGGUGUACAAGUGUGAAUGAAACUAAAUCAAGUUUGUGUUUUAUGUUAUUGUUUUUGACAGUAUAUUUAUGUGCUAUGCAAUCCAUGAGAGUAUAUUUAUGUGCUAUGCAAUCCAGAAGGGGGAAUGCAAGCUAUACCCAAUUCAUAAUUGUAUUUGGAACACUAAUGAUUUUAGCACAAAUUCCAUCUUUCCAUUCUCUAAGACAUAUAAACCUUAUCUCCCUCACUCUAUACCUUGGCUAUAGUGCUCUUGCAACAUAUUAAAAUUCUCGUAAUUAAAAAUUCAUACACAAUUUAAAUUAAAUUAAACAUCAAGACCCCUGACGAAGAUGAAUCUCUGUUCAUUUUUCUUUUUAUUAACAAACAAAAGUUUUUAGGUCAACUUCUUUCAACAACCUCCUCAAGGAUCCUUAAUUAUCUCUUUCCAAGUUCAUAACCACUCUAGUCAUGCAAAGAUUAAGGUUCAUGGCCAAUCAACAAUUAAUCUGUGAUUAAGAUAUUAUGAACGCUAUUCACAUAAAAACAUGAAAAGAUUAAGAGCAAAUAAUCAGAUGCAUUACAAAGAAUAAUUCAUAAACUUUGUCUACAUCUAUCCCUAGGAUUAAGAGUUUAGCUACCCCAUACUUCACAAUCUAAAACACAAAACUCAAUACAAUACCCAUAAAAAAAAUUAAAGGAGAAGAAAAAGAAAACGAAGAAGAAAAGCUAGUGAUUCGUAUUAUUAUAAUACUGUGUAUAACAGUAUGUGUUUUUUAAUAUUCUCUGUUUCCAGCUCCAAUGUACCAAAAUAUUAUCACAAACUCCACAAUCCUUCUCUUUCCAAUCCCUAAACUAACCAAUGAAUCAUAUUCGCACGCUUGGUAGCCUUGUUCAAAAUAUUAUAUAUUACAAUUAUAAUAACUUGUAUCCCCCCUUUUCAAGCCUAAAAUGCAAAACCUUUCUUCCAUUCUCUAAGGCAUAUUUCCUCUUCUUUAAUUUUGCAUUCCAAUUUUAAAUUACAAAUUACAAAUUUUAAUCACAAAGGAAAAAAGGAAAAUUAUUACCUUUAGAAAGGGAAGAAAAUAAAUGAGUAACCAUGAAGGAUUUGGAAACGAAUAGAGGUUUAGCGAAAGUGGAAUGCGACAGAAGGACGGUGAAUGUGUUUACUCGUUUUCGAACAGAGAAUGUGUUUACGCAUUCCGAACGGUGAACAGACGGACGCAAAUCAACGAAGGUGAAGGGAACGCAAAGCAGACGGACGGUGACGGACGAUGAACGCAAAUGAAUGAAGGUGAAUGCUUAUGAACGCGAAGGGAAGUCUUUUCCGGCGAUGAACGCAGAUGAAUGCACAGAUGAACGCGAAGGGAAGGUUAGGUGAACGACGCUUUUGAUUUCGGGUGGAGAAGGGACAAAGUCGCGGCGAAUUAGGUUUAAUUAAGAAAAGGGGAAGUGAUCUAAUUGAAACGUUGGGUUUUGUAAAAGAAUAUUAACACAAUAAUUUUUUAGAAAUUUCUUGACGUUUUUAAAACGUCAAAAACAAAUUAAAAUUUCUUGAACUUUUUAAAACAUCAAUGAUUUUUUAGAAUUAUCUUGACGUUUUAAAAACGUCAAGAAUUUUUUAUAAAUUUCUUGACGUUUUUAAAAAUGUCAAGAACUUUUUAGAAUUAUCUCGACAUUUUAAAAACGUUAAGAAUUUUUAUAAAUUUCUUGAUGUUUUUAAAACGUCGAGGAAAACUAUAUAUUAUUGACGUUUAAAAAACAUCAAGAAAGUUGAAUUCAUAAACAUUCUUGACGUUUUUUAAACGUCAAAAAUUAUUAGAUAUUUCUUGAUGUUUAAAAAACGUCAAGAAAAAGUACAUCUUACUUGACGUUUAAUUGCAUAAAAAACGUCAAGAAAAAACGUCAAGAAAGUUGAAAAUUGGCCUUUCAUAAAAAUUCUUGACGCUUUUUUAUUUGAAAUCACAUCUUUCUUGACGUUUUUGGGAAAAAACGUCAAGAAAGGAAAACUACAACCGUCAAGAGAGCCUGUUUUUGUAGUAGUGAUUUUGGGGACAAGACUGAGUGGGGAGUUGGGAUUAUAAUUGCACAAAAUGGAAUUCACUCAUUUCCUACUGUAGGAUAAGUAGAUGAAUGUUAGCUUAAAUGGUGUCUCCAAAACUUAAACAAAGGGCCCGUACUCUCUCUAUGACAUGAGAGGGGUUUUUGUUUAUUAGUAGGACCAUAAACAAGUUGUUCAUUAGAGGAGCACUAGUUUUUAAGGAUUAGAGGUAACAUAGGGGUAAAGCGGUAAAUUGAUCCAACUGGUGUUACAAACACUCGUGAAGGACUAACUUACUAUUAUUGGUCUAUAUCCGUGGACACAGAAAUAUAUUUUUAGUGAGAAGAGUUCAGUUGUGAGUCUUUAGUGGAGUGUACACACAACUAACGAAUAUUGAUUAAUGUGGUUAAUGAGUUUAGCCAAUUAAUCUUAGAUCGUUGUAGCUUCUGAUCUGUAGGUCCACUAGGUCCCUUUCCUAGCUCGUAAAGGGUAAUGAGAUUUAUUUGUAUUAGUUGUAAUUUAAAAUGUUUAAAUUUAACUUGGGAAUUAGUAUAAUGUAUAGUGAUACAUUAUAAUAUAAAGUUUAUCAAACUUUACUAUAUAAAUUUAACUUUGGGGAUGAUUUAAAAUUAAUUUAUGAGAGAUAAAAUAUUUGAAUGAGUUCAAAUAUUAAUUUAAUGUAAAUUGGAUUCAUAUUAAAAUUAUUGAGAGAAACUUAUAUUUGAAUAUGAUUCAAAAUUAAUUUAAGUUAAAUAUAAGAUAAAUAAUUUAAUGUUAUUAGUUAAUUGGAGAAUUAAUUAAUAGUUUAGUUUAAUAUUAUUUAAUUAAAUGUGAUUUCAUUAAUUAUUAACUAAUUGAUUAAUGUUUAAUUAAUCAGUAGAUUUGAAAUAUAUAUUAAUUUAAUUGUUUGUAAAUUAAUAGAAUCUCAUAGUUCUCUUCUACUUCAUUUUUUAUUCCUAGAAGGAAAGAGAGUUAUAAUAUCUAGAAGAAAACAAUUUUCUUAAAAAAUGAAUAUAAUAAAAAAAGAAAAAAUAAGGCUAACGCUAUUGCUCUUUGCAAAAAGAAAAGAGUUUCUCUCAAUAUCUCUAAACUUUUUCCCAUCCCAAUUGGUUCCACAAACCAAUCUUAUCACAGAGGUACUCUUUGCAAUUUAAGCUCUCUUUGCAAUGGACAGUCUUCAAAGUUUUUUUAACGAUGUUUCUAAUGCUUUCCUUUCUCUCUCAUGUUUAAUAAAACAAAUUUCUCUUAAAACCUGUAGGGAGGCUACAUCGUAUCGAAUUUCAUACAACUGACGUGUUCAUCGAGUUACAACAAGUGCCGCACAAUAGUCUGUUCCAUGUUUGAAAAGUUGUGAGUGUGACACGCUGCACAUGAGGUUAGAACGAGACAUGGCAAGGCAAGCUCUACGCGCACCUGCCAACUUCUGCCACAAUAUUUUGUACGCAAGCUAAUGUCUUUGGGCUGUUUUUAUGGUAUUUGGAAAUUUUAAGCAAAGUUUUGAUAUUUUUAUGAUCAACAGGAAUUAAAUGGAAUUAUUUCCCAUUAUUUUCAUUAUUUUAGAUCAGAAGGAGAUCGAACAAAUUUAUAAGCCAAGGGUCCAAGCUACUCUCUAUAAGUGACAAAAAUGAGUUUAAAGUUGAUUUCUAAACAUGAAUUUACUAUCAAAUGUUUCAAGCAUGCUUUGAUGUUUGAAUAUUUGAGGAUACUGACUUAUAAAGUAUUUCCAAAGCAUGAAUUUAGAAACAUUUUGGUAAUGAAAAUUAUAAGCAAUCAUGAUUGUGCUAAGUUAUCAAAAUGUUUAAGCUUGAAAAUAAUAUUAGCAUGUUUUAGUCUAUACCUAAAAUAUUCUAAGAUAUAUAGCAACCCUUCGGGAGAGAUUUUCUUGUGCAUAGAGGUCAUUUGAUUUGGAUAUUCAGUAAAUACCUAGCUUUCCAUCAUUGGUAUUAGAUAAGAGAUGAAGACUUCUAAAGAUGCUUAGUUUCCCAUCUCAAGGGACGAGACCCUGUACGAAUGCCUAGUUUCCAUCUCAUUGUAGUUAUAACGAGAUAGGGCACAAUUGAUGCCUAGAGUUUCAUCUCGUAAGUAUCGUAUCACGGGAUAGGGCUUCUAUGCCUAGUUUAUUGUUUUUCGUCUUGACGAUUCUAGUAUAGCAACUGAAAGGGAAAGUUUGAGAUAAGUUGUUUGAGUUUGAUUUCAUUUAUGUUAAGAGUUAAUUGUUAAAUACUUAUUAUUUCAAACAAUGUUUUAUAAAACAAUCACUCAUUGGGCUAUUUAGCUCACUCUUUGGAUAAAUAUCCCCAUAUGGAUUACGUUGUUUGGAAAAUUAAACUGUCUUUAGUACUUCAAAGAAAACUUCCCUCCCAUGUCCUCUCACCUCAUGUCAUCCCAUUUGUGUUGAUAACAUGAAAAAUAUUUAGCACCUUUUAAUUGAUUAUGUCUUUGUAUCGAAAUGUUGGUUCCGUCUUCUCCAAACAUUCAAUAUUUGUUGGGAUUUUUUGCUCAAUCAAGGCUUAUUCUUGUUUGUUCUCGACCUGCUACCUAUGAUUUAUGAUUUUGUUUUGGACAUAUUAUUUUAUCAUUUUGUUUGGUUUUAUAUUUGUGGCUUUUUUUUUGUUUUGUUUUGUGUUUUGUUUUUUUUUUUUUUUGAAAAGGAGACAACCUCUUUAUUAAUAUUAAAAUAAUAAAAUAAUUAGACAAAAGCUCAUGGUACAAGAGAGUUAUACAAUGAACAUGUAACCAUGGAUCAGAGGGUGCACCUUGGCAUCUCAACUAGGUUGACACCCCCAUAGCACCCUCAUCAUAUCCAACCAAGCUAAAACCCAUAACAAAGGAGUAAUGUCCAAAGGCAAAACAAACACAAAAAAAGCCUUCUAUUUGUGGCUUUUGUUUUGAUCUUGUGUUGUCGCUUUUUGGAUGUGAUGAGGGCGCUAAGGGGGUGUCAACACUCAAACCUUAUGACGUAACAAAUGCAAAUUUUAUGACGUUUUUAGGGGUAGUCCCUCCCAUUACUAGCUCAACACUCAAACGGAGUCUCCUGUAUAAAAUAUAAAAUAAUACAGACACAAAUAGUGAAUGAAAUCUUAUGACGUAACAAAUGCAAAUUUUAUGUAUACUGCAAUUGACUAAAUAUUGAACAAGAAAGCCCAAGGGAAUACAAAAAAAUCCAACGUUUUUAGGGGUCAAUUUGAAAAAUGGCAAAAUUACUUUUUCUUUUCAAUUUUAGCAAACAACAUUUUUUGCACGUGCAUGGUAUUUUAUAAAAUACCAGAAUAUCAACAUUCUUCAACUGUAGUUAUUUCGUUUCUACAUUGUAAUUAAUUUAUGUUAUGCAUUUAUCAGUUUUUAAUUAUCUUUUACUUGAAAUAGAUACAUCAACUCAUAUCAUAAUAUUUUUCUUAAUAUCUCGAGUCUCAACUAAUUAAUUCACAUAUUAAUAACUUUAUUCAAUCAUACUAAUUUCAAAAUAACCUAAUUGAAUUUGAAUUUCAAAAUAACAAAAUUAUUAUUUUUCGGAAUUUGAGAGUCUCAACGAUAGAUUUUGUAUUAAAAUAACCUUAAUUGAAUUUCAAAAAUAAAAAAUAUCAACAUGUUCACUAUCUUUAUCUCAAAAUAACAUUAAUGCCUUGAAUAUCAAGAUAAUUAAAUUAUUAUUUAAAAUUGGAAGAAACUCAACAUUAAAAAAUAUUAACUUGUUCGCACACAAGCAUAGAAGCACUGCGCACACACGUACACAUGCACACUUACACACACGCGCACACACGCACAUCUACACACAGACACCCACAGACACACGAACGCAUGCACAUACACAUGCACACGCGCACGCAUGCACAUACACAUGCACACGAGCACGCAUGCACACGCACACACCUAUCCACACGCGCGCACAAGCACACACACAUGCACAAACGCACACACGCGUACGCACAAACGCACACACUUAUACACAUACGCACACGCGCACAAACACGCACGCACGAGCACACACACACCUAAGCACACACGCAAUAGCCUGCGCACACACACGCACGCACAAACACAUACAAACAUGCACACACCCACACAUAUAUGCACACGGACACUCGCAACAAACGCACGCACAUACACAUACGCACACCUACCUACACGCACACACGUACACACGCACAUAUGCAUAAAGAUGUAUAAAUGAGUUAAAAUUAAAAAAAAACUACAUUAAUUGUGUUUAGAAGGACUUUUAAACCAUGUUCAUUUGACUUAAUAACAUUAAUUAAACUAUAAUUUCUAUCAAUAUUGGCUUAAAAAGUGUCAUUCGUGUAAUUAUUUCAAUAUAAUGCGAUUUUAUCCAAUUCUAUUUGCAACAAACAGGUCGAAUAUGAACCAGUAGAUAUACAUGUCAUAAGAGAUAUAGGAACAUUUUUAUGGUCAUUUUGAAAAAUGCAAAACUUUUUGUAACGACCCAACUUUUCUAGGUAAGUCGAGGUCAUUAAUUUUUAAUAAAAGACUUUGUUGAUACAAAAUGAAGCGUAAGUCAAUUUAAAAAAAAAUAUGUCAGGCCUGAUUUUCAAAUAUCAAGAAAACUUAAAAAUAACACUAUUUACAAAUAAAAGUUUGUAAACUAAGUUUUUAGUACAUCUUAAACCUUAAAAGAAACAUAAGCGGAAGCAAAAUACACAUUUCCUAUGGCAAUCACGCUUCCUUCCUGCCCCUCGCCGGUUUGCCACCUUUAUUUCCUUUGCCUGAAAAUUAAACAUAAGAAGGGUGAGUAUUUUAAAUACUCAGUAAGAGACCCUAUACUGGUCUCGUCAGGGAAAAUAAAUUGUUAAAGUUCUAUUGGGACACCCUGUACAGUCGCAGUCUUGUGAUCCCGUAGGAUACACAUUCAGUCUAACGCCCCGAAGGACGUACAUAUCAGUCUGACGCCCCGAGGGACGUACAUAUCAGUCUAACGCCCCGAGGGACGUACAUAUCAGUCUAACGCCCCGAGGGACGUACAUAUCAGUCAAGUGUUCUGCAGAAACACAUAUCAGUCAAAUACUCCCGAAGGUGCAAAAUAAAUUGGUGAUCCCGUGGGACACCUACAAGGUAAACAUCCCAAUACAACCUAACAAUUUAUCCCCUCAUUCCAUUCAACCCAUCUUUCAGUUACUUCAAAUCACAAAGUCCUUUCUUUCAACAUCCUAACAGUCAACUUAUUUUACUACAGUCAUAUGUCUGUCAAUAAUAUGCUAAUACAUCAGUCAAUCACUAUACAGUCAAGUCAAUACACCCCUCAGUUCACCAGCACAAACCACAGUUCAGUAUAAUCCACAUCCAACUGAAACAAAUUCACUAGUUCACAUCCAAUCUUUAUACAGCACAAUCUAUUAAUAUCAUCAUGUACACAGAAGCAUAAUUUCAGUCAUUCACAUGUAUACUUUCGGCAAUCCACAUCAAUUCACACAUCAAUGUAUAUAUAUAUGUUUCCAGUCAAAUACAACAUACACUAAACAUUUAGUCUGCAAUCAAACAUGUACAUCUUAAUCAUCAUCCAUACAGUCCAACACAACUCAAAAACUUUAGGUAAGUCCAGUAGAAAAUCCCUUACCUCACUUUUAUGCAAGUUCUUCAAUCUACUAAAUCCAAUGAAUCAAAUCCUAAACAUAAUCAAUCAUAAAAUCAACAUCUUUCUAAAUAGUUUCAACCAUUCAAAUUACCCCAUAUGUAAAUUCCACAACUUACCCAAGAAGUGGAAAAUCAAGUCCACUUCAACCUUUUGGAAAAUCAAGGAUUCGCUCACUGAAUCAAGAUGUACCUUCAAGAAUUAAGCAUUUCGCCAACAAUUAAAUCCAAUGGCAGCAUCCAACAAAAACCAAGAAACCAACAAAAACCAUAACUUGUUCUUACCCAAAUAUGAGCCCAAUGGUUCACGGCGAGGCAGAUCUGGACGACGAUUUGCUUUGCGAGGGAGGCACGACGGUUGUGAGCGAGAGGCACGACGGUUACAGGCGGAUGGGCGCGACGGUUUAGAUCUGAAGAAGAAAAGAGAGGGUGGCGGUUGGGUUCGGCGAGCGGCGGCGGUUUUGCUUCGCGAACGGAGAUGGAGACGGCAAUUCGGCGCGCGGGACGACUGCAACGCAAAUCUGGACUGGCAGCGGCACGGUCUUGCUUCGCGGCUGGGUAUGGUGAAAAAGAAAGAGAAACGGAAGAAGAGAAGUCUCGGGUGGCGGUUGCUGGGCUACGGCGGUUGCUGGGCUGCGGCGGAAGGAGAAAAUGGAAGGAAGAGAUCGGCGGAAAGAAGGAGAAGAUGGAUGGGAGUCACGAUCGCACGGGAAGAAGAAGGGAGAAAAGAAAAGAAAAGAAAAGAAGAAAAGAAAAAUAAUAAAGAAAUUUUUAAUAUAAAGUAAAAUAAAAAUAUAUAUAUAUAUAUAUAUAUAUAUAUUACCUUUUUGGGCAUUACAUUCUUCCCUCCUUAAGAAACUUUCGUCCUCGAAAGUUCUAAUCCUGAAAUAACUCUGGAUAACGAGUCCUCAUUUCUUCCUCUCGCUCCCAUGUCGCCUCUUCAAUUCGAUGAUUCCGCCACAAAACCUUUACUAAUGGAAUGCUUCUAUUACGAAGCAUCUUUACCUCUCUAGCCAAAAUCUCCACAGGUUGUUCAACAUAGCUCAAAUGCUCGUCAAUCUCCAAGGUUCAUAGUCCACUACAUGAGAUGUAUCGGCCACAUACUUCCUCAACAUCGAAACAUGGAAAACAUUAUGAACUGCAGAGAGAGAUGGUGGUAAUGCCAAGCGAUACGCCACAACACCAACCCUCUCUAAGAUCUCAAAUGGUCCAACAAAACGAGGACUUAACUUUCCCUUCUCAAAACGCAUAACACCCUUCAUAGGUGCUACCUUCAAGAAUACCUUUUCUCCCACAUCGAACUUAAGGUCUUUUCGCCGUACAUCUGCAUAACUCUUCUGUCUACUCUGCGCUGUUUGCAUACGCGUCCUAAUCGUUUGAAUAGCCUCAUUAGUAGACCGAACUAAUUCAGGUCCCAUCAAUCUAUGUUCACCAACCUCACUCCAACAAACAGGGGUUCUACAACAUUUGCCAUACAAAGCCUCAAAUGGUGCCAUACCGAUGGUAGCCUGGAAACUGUUGUUAUAAGCAAACUCCAUCAAAUGUAGAUGAGAGUCCCAACUACCUGGAAACUCUAUAACACAAGCUCGUAGCAUAUCCUCUAAAACUUGGUUCAAACGUUCAGUUUGACCAUCAGUCUGUGGAUGAAAGGCUGUACUGAAAUCCAAUCUCGUACCCAUAGCAGUCUGAAGUCCCUUCCAAAACUUGGAAGUAAACCGUGCAUCCCUAUCAGAAACAAUCGAUACAGGCACUCCAUGCAGUCUCACAAUCUCAGUUAAAUACAACUCUGCCCACUUACUAGCAGUAUAAGUGGAUUUUCCUGGUACAAAAUGUGCCGAUUUCGUAAGCCUGUCUAUGACAACCAGAAUCACUGUGAAACCCUUCAGGGUCUUAGGCAGCCCUGAAAUAAAAUCCAUCGACACAUUCUCCCACUUCCACUCUGGCACACUUAAGGUUGUAAUAAACCUGCUGGUUUCUGUCUAGGUGCCUUAACUUGCUGACAUACUAGACACUUACUAACAAAUUCCGCCACUUCCCUUUUCAUAUUCCGCCACCAAUAAAAUCGUUUUAGAUCCUGAUACAUUUUCGUGCUACCAGGAUGCAUGGAAAAUGGGGAAUUAUGGGCUUCAUCUAGUAAGUCAAUCUUAACUGUACUGUUCGCUGGCACACAUAAACGUCUCUCAAACAUCAACCCACCAUCAGAGGAUAUGGAGAACUCAUCAGUCUGCCCUGUUUCAACAAGGCGACGUCUCUCCAUCAAAUAAGGAUCAUUACUCUGAGCAUCAACAAUCUUGUGCCUCAGAGUCGGUUGCACCGUUAAUUGAGCUAGCUGUGAGGUGACUCUCCCCACAGACACUGCAAUCUCAGCUCUCUCCAAGUCUCGAUGCAAUGGUACCUGUCUAGUAAUGAGUGCUGCCGAAUGUGAUACUUUUCUACUAAGAGCAUCAGCCACCACAUUCGCCUUACCAGGAUGGUAUAAUAUCUCACAGUCAUAAUCUUUUACCAACUCGAGCCACCUUCGCUGUCUCAUAUUCAACUCCUUCUGAGUGAAGAAGUACUUUAGGCUCUUAUGGUCAGUAAAGAUUUGUAUCUUUUCACCGUACAAGUAAUGUCUCCAUAUCUUCAAUGCAAAAACCACUGCUGCCAACUCCAAAUCAUGUGUGGGGUAGUUCUGCUCGUGACUCUUCAACUGACGAGAGGCAUAAGCAACCACCUUACCUUUCUGCAUCAAAACACAACCCAGUCCUUUCUUGGAAGCAUCACUGUAAAUCACAAAACUUCCAGAUCCAUCUGGUACAGUAAGGACCGGUGCAGUAACUAACCUUUGCUUUAAGUUCUGAAAACUAUCCUCACAAGCUGGACUCCAAACAAACGGAGUUCCCUUCCUUGUCAACUGAGUCAAAGGAGUAGCCAAACGUGAAAAAUCCUCCACAAACCUCCGGUAAUACCCUGCUAAACCCAGAAAACUACGAACCUCACUAACUGUGAGGGUCGAGACCAACUGGUAACCGCUUCUAUCUUUGCAGGGUCUACUGAAACUCCCUCACUGGAAACCACAUGACCAAGAAAAGCCACCUGCUUCAACCAAAAUUCGCACUUAGAACUUAGCAUACAGUUUAUUGACUCGAAGAGUCUCUAACACCUUAUGUAAGUGUUCCUCAUGUUCGGCUUCAGUCUUGGAAUAAACCAAAAUAUCAUCAAUGAAGACUAUCACAAAAGUGUCCAAGAAAUCCUUAAACACCCUGUUCAUCAAAUCCAUAAAUACAGCAGGUGCAUUAGUCAAACCAAAAGACAUUACUAUGAAUUCAUAAUGUCCAUACCUCGAACGAAAAGCAGUCUUAGGAAUAUCACGGUCUCUAAUCCUCAACUGGUGAUAACCUGACCGUAAGUCAAUCUUAGAGAACACCGUGGCUCCCUGUAACUGAUCGAACAAAUCAUCGAUUCUGGGUAAAGGAUACCUGUUCUUGACUGUUACUUUAUUCAACUCUCUAUAGUCAAUGCAAAGACGCAUCGACCCAUCCUUCUUCUUCACAAACAAUACUGGUGCACCCCAAGGUGACACACUAGGUCGAAUAAAGCCUUUGUCAAGCAAUUCCUGUAACUGUACCUUCAGUUCUUUCAACUCAGCAGGAGCCAUCCUAUAAGGGGCUCUAGAAAUAGGAGUAGUGUUUGGCUCCAACUCAAUGGCAAAAUCAAUCUCUAUGUGGCGCAGUCCUGGAAGAUCUUUUGGAAAUACAUCUGGGUAUUCUCUUACCACAGGUUCUGAAGUUAAAGAAGUCUCACCUUCCCUAGUAUCCACCACACUUGCCAAAAUACUCCAAGUACCCUGGCUGAGUAGUUUACUAGCUUUCAUAGCUGAGAUUACUUUAGGCAGUACUACUGUUCCUACUCCCUUGAAUUUAAAGCUAGAUGCAGUAGGGGGACUAAACACAACUUCCUUACGAGAACAAUCAAUACUAGCAUGAUUAGUAGCUAGCCAAUCCAUACCUAAAAUUACAUCAAAGUCACGCAUAUCUAAUACCAACAAGGUUACGUCCAGCACACGACCAGCUAUCUCAAUUUCACAUGCUUUAAUCUUUUCCUUAGACAACAUAAUUUCUCCAGACGGUGUAGACACUGACAAAACAUAGUCUAAGGGUUCCACCUCUAAGCAUGCAUGCGUCACAAAAAGCGAUGAAAUAAAUGAAUGAGAAGAUCCCGAGUCAAACAAGGUCAAGGCAAAAUGCCCUAAUACUGGUAAUGUACCUGUCACUACUGUGCCGGCCUUCUCUGCCUCUGAUCUAUUAGUGGCAAAGAUUGUACCCCGCUGUGGAGGUCUCUCUCCCUGACUGCUCGAUCCAGCCCCAGUAGAUCUCAAGGGACACCUAUCAGCCAUGUGUCCCUCUUGCUUGCACUUAUAACAGACUCUCGUUCCCAUCAAACAACGACCCAGGUGGCGUUUCCCACACGUAUUACAUACUGGCCUCUCUUGAGUAGUGUCUCCUGCACCGCCAGAACUCUGCUGGAAACUGCGAAAAGAAUCACCUGGUCUCAUGUUCCUCUGAGGAACUCCUACAGUUCUCUGCUCUACUUUUCUCUUUUGACCGACGACGAUCCCUUAUUAAAGCUCCUUGGCUGUCUUUCAUCCUUCCCAAUACUCAUAUCCACUGCCAGACGCAGUGCUUCAGCUUGGGUAGUGGGCUUUAGUGCUCGCACAAAACCCCUAAUUUCAUCUCUCAAUCCCUUGACGAACCUAUCAGCUCUAGCCUGCUCAUUACUAACAAGCUCAGGGGCAAAACGUGACAGCAUAUCAAACUCCUGGUCGUACUCCUCGACUGUCAUAUAUCCUUGCUUCAACUCCAAGAAUUCCUGGCUUUUGGCGUCUCUAAGGUUAGCCGAGAAAAACUUGGUAUAGAAGCAGUUCUUAAACUGAUCCCAGGUAAUUUGCCUCACAUCUCCACCUAGCAUGCGCAUUGUAGUCCUCCACCAGAUAAUGCCUCUGUCCCUCAGUAGAAAAGCAGCACACUGAACUCUGUGCUCCUCGGACAUCUCAUGUAAUUAAAUAUGGUUUCCACAGAGGACAACCACAUUUCAGCUUUAGUAGGAUCCUCCAGUGACCCAUCAAACGUCUGAGGGUCAUACUUCCGAAAGUCCCUCAAAUGUUUCGCCUCAGCAGAAAGUUGGUUAGGUAAUUCUUGUGCAGGAGGGGCUGCUGGUGCAGGGGAACUACAGGUGCAGGUGGAACCAGGUGCCUGCUGGUUUUGAGCUAUAGCUGUCAUAAGUUCUGUAAACCUCUGCUCCAUGUGAGCAGACAGUGCAUCAAACUCAACGUGAGUCACGGGUGCAGCAGGAAUUCGCUGUUCAGCUUGACCCUCAGUAGGCUGAUUACGACCUGCUCCUCUACCUCGGCCUCCUGCUCUCUACGACCUCCUCUACGUACUUCUUCCCUUGGCGGCAUAAUUCCUAUUACCACCAACAACACUCUUUAACAAAAUCUUAAUCAUAAACAUAAGCAAGUCUUUAUCGUCAUGCAAUCUAGUUUAAUUUAGGCAAGGUCAUGCAAAUAAACCAUACAUAUAAGCAUCAAGCAUACCUGACGAGAGACGAAGGGUCGCGUUAGCCAUAGGAACACAAAAACAUAGACUUACAUCGUAAGUCAGUCUACAGAACCUAAAACUUAGGCUCUGAUACCAACUGUAACGACCCAACUUUUCUAGGUAAGUCGAGGUCAUUAAUUUUUAAUAAAAGACUUUAUUGAUACAAAAUGAAACGUAAGUCAAUUUAAAACAAUCUAUGUCAGGCCUGAUUUUCAAAUAUUCAAGAAAACUUAAAAAUAACACUAUUUACAAAUAAAAGUUUGUAAACUAAGUUUUAGUACAUCUUAAACCUUAAAAGAAACCAUAAGCGGAAGCAAAAUGACACAGUUCCUAUGGAAUCACGCUUCCUUCCUCCCCCUCGCCGGUUUGCCACCUUUAUUUCCUUUGCCUGAAAAUUAAACAUAAGAAGGGUGAGUAUAACAAUACUCAGUAAGAGACCCUUACUGUCUCCGUCAGGGAAAAAUAAUUGUUAAAGUUCUAUUGGGACACCCUGUACAGUCGCAGUCUUGUGAUCGCGUAGGAUACACAUUUCAGUCUAACGCCCCGAAGGACGUACAUAUCAGUCUAACGCCCCGAGGGACGUACAUAUCAGUCUAACGCCCCGAGGACGUACAUAUCAGUCUAACGCCCGAGGGACGUUCAUAUCAGUCUAGUGUUCUGCAGAAACACAUAUCAGUCAAAUGCUCCCGAAGGUGCAAAAUAAAUUGGUGAUCCUGGGACACCUACAAGGUAAACAUCCCAAUACACAACCUAACAAUUUAUCCCUCAUUCCAUUCAACCCAUCUUUCAGUUACUUCAAAUCACAAAGUCCUUUCUUCAACAUCCUAACAGUCAACUUAUUUUACUACAAUCAUAUGUCUGUCAAUAAUAUGCUAAUACAUCAGUCAAUUCACUAUACAGUCAAGUCAAUACACCCCUCAGUUCACCAGCACAAACCACAGUUCAGUAUAAUCCACAUCCACACCGAACAAAUUCACUAGUUCACAUCCAAUCUUUAUACAGCACAAUCUAUUAAUAUCAUCAUGUACACUAAGCAUAAUUUCAGUCAUUCACAUGUAUACUUUCGCAAUCCACAUCAAUUCACACAUCAAUGUAUAUAUAUAUGUUUCCAGUCAAAUACAACAUACACUAAACAUUUAGUCUGCAAUCAAACAUGUACAUCUUAAUCAUCAUCCAUACAGUCCAACACAACUCAAAAACUUUAGGUGAGUCCAGUAGAAAAUCCCUUACCUCACUUUUAUGCAGUUCUUCAAUCUACUAAAUCCAAUGAAUCAAAUCCUAACAUAAUCAAUCAUAAAAUCAACAUCUUCUAAAUAGUUUCAACCAUUCAAAUUACCCCAUAUGUAAAUUCACAACUUACCCAAGAAGUGAGAGAAUCAAGUCCACUUCAACCUUUUGGAAAAUCAAGGAUUCGCUCACUGAAUCAAGAUGUACCUUCAAGAAUUAAGCAUUUCGCCAACAAUUAAAUCCAAUGGCAGCAUCCAACAAAAACCAAGAAACCAACAAAAACCAUAACUUGUUCUUACCCAAAUAUGAGCCCAAUGGUUCACGACGAGGCAGAUCUGGACGACGAUUUGCUUUCCGAGGAGGCACGACGGUUGUGAGCGAAGAGGCACGGCAGUUACAGGCAGAUGGCGCGCGACGGUUUAGAUCUGAAGAAGAAAGAGAGGGUGGCAGUUGGGUUCGGCGAGCGGCGGCGGUUUUGCUUCGCGAACGGAGAUGGAGACGGCAGUUCGGCGCGCGGGACGAUGCAACGCAAAUCUGGACUGGCAGCGGCACGGUCUUGCUUCGCGGCUGGGUAUGGUGAAAAAGAAAGAGAAACGGAAGAAGAGAAGUCUCGGUGCGGUUGCUGGGCUACGGGCGGUUGCUGGGCUGCGGCGGAAGGAGAAAAUGGAAGGAAGAGAUCGGCGGAAAGAAGGAGAAGAUGGAUGGAGUCAGAUCGCACGGGGAAGAAGAAGGGAGAAAGAAAAGAAAAAGAAAAAGAAGAAAAAAAAAUAAUAAAGAAAUUUUAAUACUAAAGUAAAAUAAAAAUAUAUAUAUAUAAUAUAUAAUAUAUAUAUAUAUAUUUACCUUUCUUUGGGCAUUACAUUUUUUUUUUAAUUUUAGCAAAUAACAUUUUUUGCACGUGCAUAAUAUUUAUAAAAUACCAAAAUAUCCACAUUCUCCAACUAAAAUUAUUUUGUUUCUAUGUUGUAAUUAAUUUAUAUUAUGCAUUUAUCAACUUUUAAUUAUUUUUUACCUGAAAAAAGAUACAUAAACUCAUAUAUAUACUUUUUUCUUAAUAUCUCGGGACUCAACUAAUGGAUUCAAGACUUUAACUUUAUUUAAUCUUACUAAUUUCAAAAUAACCUAAUUGAAUUUGAAUUUCAAAAUAACCAAAUUGAAUUUCAACAUAACAAAAUUAUUAUUUUUCAAAUUUGAUAAUCUCAGAAAUAGAUUUUGUAUCAAAAUAACUUUAAUUGAAUUUCAAAAUUAAAAAAUAUCAACUUAUUCACUCUUUAUCUCACAAUAAUAUUAAUGGCUUGAAUAUCAAGAUAAUUAAAUUAUUGUUUUUAAAAUUGGGAGAAACUCAACAUUAAAAAAUAUCAACUUAUUCACACACAAUCACACGCGCACACACAUACAUACACUUGCACGCACGUGCACCCAUACACGCACACACACACGCGUGCACACACACACACACACACAAACGCACACAUGCACACGCACACCAAACCGCACGCACACAAAUACACACACACACGCACACUAAUGGUUCAAUUUCAUCGAUUGUUCCUAUUUUUCUGACAGUUUAUUUUUGCCAUCGAUAGAGGAUCUUCCGACAGACCUGCGUGACGGUGUGUGUUGACAGCUUAAUUUCGUUGGCAAAAGAAAAGUCGAUUAGUUUUUGAAGAUUUACUGACGAUAUUUGUCAUCGACAAAGGGUAAAUUUCUUGUAGUGCAUGUACAUCAAACAUAUCAAAUUUGUUAAGUGUACCAAUGAAGUAUAAGAAGUUUAUUAGUGGUGUAUCAAGCGUAUCAAACUUAUAAGUGAAGUCUUUAAGUGUAUCAAACUAAUCAAGUGUAUCAAGGUCUCAGGGUAUCAAGUGUAUCAAGAAGAAUCAAGUGUAACGAGAAGUAUUAUGUGGAACGAGAAGUAUUAUGUGUAUGAAGAUGUUUCAGGUGUGUAUCAAAAAGUAUCGAGUGUAUCAAUGAGUACCGAGUGCAUGAAUUGUAUCUAUCAAAUGUAUCAAGUGUAUCAGUAAGAAAUAUCAAGUGUAUCAAGCGGUAUUAGGUGUAUCAGACGUGUAUAAGGUGUAUCAAAUGUACAUCAAUAACGAGGGCAUUUGUGACAUUUUACCUCUUGAUGUGUGAGUUGGUCUUUGUUUUUGUCAUUUUCUCAAAUAAUAAAGUAUGUGUUCUAUGAACUUAAUUAUUAUAACUUACACUACUACAAAAACAGGCUCUCUUGACGUUUGCAGUUUUCCUUUCUUGACGUUUUUUUCAAAAAACGUCAAGAAAGAUUUCAUUUUUAAUAAAAAACGUCAAGAAAUUUUUUGAAACAUCAUUCUUGACGUUUAUUAAAUGUCAAGUAAAAUAAAUUUUUCUUUGACGUUUUUAAAACAUCAAGAAAUAUCUAUUAAUUUUUUGACGUUUUAAAACGUCAAGAAGCGUAUGAAUUCGACAUGCUUGACGUUUCUUAAACGUCAAGAAUUUAAAAUUUUACUCGACGUUUUAAAAACGUCAAGAAAUUCAUAAAAUAUUCAAGAAUAUUUUUUAAAUUACACUGAGAAGGUAUCGAAUUUUAAUUUUCAGCUCUAACAUUUUUCCUAAUCUACUUUUUUCUUCUUCACGACUGAGUAUUCGAGGGAGUCAUUUUUUGAAUUUGUUGACAUUUUUUAAACGUUAAGUAAGAUCAUUUUUUUUUUUACAUUUUAAAAAUGUCAAGUGUUAUUAAAUAAAUAUAAAAAAUAUAUUGGGCUAAUUUUAUUUCUUUAAAAUCUCUUUAAAUAUAUAGAUACAAUAAUAAAAAUCUCUUUAAAUAUAUAGAUACAACAAUAAAAAUUUCUUUAAAUAUAUAUAGAAAAAAAAUAUUGUACUAAUAUUAUUCAGAAUCACUUUAAAUAUAUAUAGAAAAAAUUAUUGUGCAAAUAUUAUUUUUUAAAAAGCCCUAGCCCCUUUCUACUCAAAACACGCGUGUUCCCCUUUCCCUCUCCAGCCGAAAUCCUUCCCAUUCGAAAAAAGUGUGUUCAGCAGUCGUCGUUCGCUUUCAACGCCUAUCCGUUCGCCUUCAACGUCUGUCCGUUCGAUUUCACCGUCGAGUUCCACCUCUUCGAAUCCCUCACGUCCGUCGUUUCAAAGUCCUUCGUCCGCUGCAUUCCAUCUUUCCAAAAUCCCUCAGUGCCUCACGCUACUGCGUGCCCGUCAUUUCGACUUCACCAACGAGUGCCUCACGUUCGUUGCUUCAAAAUCCAUCAUCCACUAAGUUGAGGUUAGGCUUUUAUUUCCCUAAAACAUAUAACAAUUUCAUUAUUCUUCAUUAUAUAAACUCAGAUGGCAUGAUUGGCAAUAAUAGAUAGGAAGGAUGGAGGUGUAAACUUCGAAUUGAUUGAAAUUCGUAUACUUUUAUUCAAUCUUUAAAGUACUGUAGUUUUUCUUCACCAUCAAAUUUUAUUAGGAUUUAAAGAAAACAAAUGAAUGUAUGAACAAAUUUUUGGGAGUGCAUGUCAUAUAAUCAACUUCCCUCUUUCAGUAAUUUUGAAGAUCUCAUAUAACAAUACUACUAAUUGAGAGCUUUGGAGGAUGAGUCAAUUCUUCUCCCUUCGUGAAAAGAAAAAGAAAAAAAGAUCAUGUAUUCUCUUUGUUUGUUACCUUAUGUUGUCCAAGGUUUUGCCUUCUUCCUUAAUAAUUUGGAGGUGUUUUAACUAAUUUUUUCAUUCACCCUCUUUUUGCCAUAGUUGCUUUUGUGUGCAGCUUGAGAUUUUUAAUUCAAUUGUGUGUUUUUACUUUUUUCUAUUGGGUGAAUUCUGUUUUGACUUUUUUUAAGCUAAAUAUAAUUAAUUGUUUCCUAUGGAACCAUAACCUUGAUCUUGGUUAUAGAUUUCAUUUUAAGGUAAAAGUAAAACACUCUUAUUUGAAUGAUUAUGUUGUAUUAUCCAUUGAAAGACUUGGUGUUGUAAUUGCCUUGUCUUCCUCAGGUAUUCUGUUGUAUGGUUGAUUACGAUCUUCAUGAUUGGAAUCUUUGUUUAGUGAAGCUCAUUUUGUUUGAUUUACUCAGUCGUGCAAUUGCUUUCUUUUUUAUGAUCACUUUAAAAAAGAAAUGAGUUUAGUUAGUUCUUUUAAUUUUCUUAAGUUUCAUUUGUAAUGCAUGAAAAUCUCUUAGCAGUAGAAACUGAAGACCAUAAUUGUAGAAGAUUUGUAUAGAUUGGAUUCACAUUCUCAACAUUGGUUAUACAGGCAUUACUUAUCAUUGUCCUUCCACUUUAAUUAUCAAUAGUGACAAUAACUUUAUUUCUCAUUAGAUUUACAAUGAUGGAUAAAUCUUGGAUGCACAAGAGUAGAUUGUCUAAAGAUUAUGAGUUGGGUGUGGAAAACUUCAUCAAAUUUGGAUUUUCUAAUACAACUAGCUCCUAUAUUCGUUGUCCUUGUUUGAAAUGUGGGAAUUGUGAAAAACAUAGUAGAAAGGGUGUUAGAGAUCACUUGUAUGUUAAUGGUAUUGAUGAAAGUUAUAAAUUUUGGUUUUGGCAUGGGGAAGAACUUCCUAACUCAUCCUUCUAUGAUGAAUCUUCAAAGUUUGACACCCAUACAUGUGAAGAUCAGGAUGUUGGAAGUGUAAAAGAAAUGAUUGAAGUUGCUCAUGAGGAGUAUUCAAAAGACCCAACUGGAUUUGAGAAGUUGCUUAUUGAUGCUGAAAAACCAUUGUACGAAGGAUGCAAAAAGUACACAAAGUUGUCUACUCUAGUCAAAUUGUAUAAUUUAAAAGUUAGGUAUGGAUAGAGUGAUACUAGUUUUUCAGAAUUACUUGAAACUUUGAAGGAAAUUCUGCCUAAUACCAAUGAGCUCCCGAAUUCAUUGUAUGAAGCAAAGAAAACAUUAGGUGCAUUAGGAAUGGAAUAUGAAAAGAUUCAUGCAUGCCCGAAUAAUUUUGUCUCUAUAGAAAAGAAUUUGCUAAUGCAAUUGAAUGUCAUGAAUGUUGUCAAUCAAGGUGGAAAAACGUCAAGGAUACAAAUGAAAGGAGAAAGCAAAUUCCCUCUAAAGUGAUAUGGUACUUUCCAAUCAUUCCACGAUUUAAAAGGCUAUUCAGAAGCAUUGAAUGUGCUGAAAACUUGACUUGGCAUUCUACUGAAAGAAUUAAUGAUGGUAAGUUACGACAUCCAGCCAGACUCUCCAGCAUGGAAGUUAGUAGACAUGAAAUGGCAAGACUUUGGUUCUGAACCCAUAAAUCUUCGUUUAGCAUUGUCAGCCGAUGGAGUAAAUCCUCAUGGUGACAUGAGUUCUAAAUACAGUUGUUGGCCGGUAGUGAUGGUUAUUUACAAUCUUCCACCAUGGUUGUGUAUGAAAAGAAAGUACAUGAUGCUAUCAAUGCUAAUUUCAGGACCAAAACAACCAGGGGAUGACAUAGGCAUAUACUUAGCACCACUAAUUGAAGAUUUAAAACUUUUAUGGGAAAGUGGUGUUGAAUGUUAUGAUGCUUAUCGAGAAGAACCAUUCAACUUAAGGUCAGUUUUGUUGUGGACAAUCAAUGAUUUUCCUGCAUAUGGUAACCUUAGUGGAUGUUGUGUGAAAGGGUAUAAAGCAUGCCCAAUUUGUGGAGAUAAUACAAAUUCUAUAAGGUUAAAGUAUGGGAAGAAAAUGGCAUACCUUGGACAUCGUAGAUUUUUGGCACGAAAUCAUCUGUAUCGACGACAAAAGAAGUCAUUCAAUGGUAAAAAAGAACUUGAUACAAUUCCAGAGCCACUUUAUGGGGAGGAUGUGUAUUUAAAAUUGAAAGAUCUUGAAUUUUCUAGAGGGAAGAAGAACCAUAAGAAACGGUUGAUGAACAGAAGUGACAAAAUUUGUUGGAAUAGAUUAUCUUCUUUUUUUGAGUUGCCAUACUGGAAGGAUCUUCAUGUUAGACAUUGUUUAGAUGUGAUGCACAUUGAAAAAAAUGUUUGCAUGAAUAUCUUAGGUACAUUUCUUGAUAUUCCUGGAAAAAGUAAGGAUGGAUUGAAUGCUAGACGCGAUUUAGUUGAUCUAAAACUUCGACCAGAGCUUGCCCCUAUCAGAAUAUGUUACUCCUACUAAUUACUUUCAUUAUGUAAAAAAGACAUCUAAACGUGAGGAUGAGAUUAUACUUGAGAAUAAAGAACUUCGAAGGCGUGUAAGCGAAUUAGAAGCACAUAACCACUCAAACUUGUCUAGACCAUUAUCUGGACAUGGUAGCUGUUCGAAGCCAAAUAUCUUAGAAGAGAGUGACUCGAUGAAAAUAAUCAAAGGGAAGAGUAAGUUGAUGGAUAAAAUCGAAGGGAAAGAGGUGGAGGAGAUCAAUGUAAAUGACGACAAAGUAGAGUUGGACAUCUUUAAGGUAUGUGAUCGAUCCUCUAAUAAACUCAAAUUCUUAAUAUUCAUAUCAUAUUGAAAGUGAAUGUUUUUCUUGAAUUAGGAGAGAGCCUUAAUAAAAAUGACUAAGGAAAAAGAGGUUGUCUGUGAAUCGACGUCAGUUUUGCCAAUGGGAAUGAAGUUGAUUCUCAUAUACGUUGAGAAGAUAAUGGAGAAAGAUUCUAGUAUCACUAUUCCACUACUGUUGGCAUUUUUGGUAUUAGUCGAAAGACUUCUGUUCUCCGAGAGGACAUCAUUGAUCUUUGUAACAUGAAUGAGGUCAAAACAUUUACAUUGGUGGCCUAUAUGACGUAAGUAUCAAUUUCAUUUCUUUAGAUCUAAAUUUAUGUAUCUCGUUUACAAGUUUAUAAUAUUUUGUAGGUACUUGUAUUCAUCUGUUCUUGGUUCGAAGGAAACUAUACAGUAUGUCUUUGUAGAUCCAUCCCUCACCUCUGUCGGACACUCGCAAGAAUCUCGAGUUCGACACUUAUGCAGUAGAUUGAUGGUCUCAAAGAUUAACGAAAUAGUUCUUGCUCCUUUUAAUCCUGGGUAAGUCAAGUUAUUUUAUUACUUGCAUUGCAAAAAACUAGUACUAAUAUUUUGUAUAAUUAGGGGUCAUUGGGCACUGCUGGCCAUAAAUGCAUAUGAUGAUAUAGUAUUUUACCUCGACUCACUAAGGACAACAUCGAAGUCAACUAUAAGAUACGUCACCGACACGUAAGUUAAUCUAGUAUUUCAUUUAGUGUUGAUUCUUAUAUGCAUGUACACAAUAUUUAAACUAUUUGUUCAAUCUUAUCUUGUCAAAACAGAGCAAUAGCGAUGUUUCAGUCACAAAAGAACAUUAAAAAAAGUAGAAAACAAACUUUAUGGCUAACAGUAAAGGUAAGUAUCAACUUUUAAAGUCAUUAAAUUUUUGUAGACUACUAGCAAUUAGGAUUACUUUGUUAUUCAAAUUUGUUGCUUUUAUAUAGUGUCCACUGCAAGGAAGUAUUGAGUGUGGAUACUAUGUGAUGAGGUAUAUGAGAGAAAUUGUGACUAGGGGAAGCAUUGUCAUAUCCGAUGCGGUAUGUUAUAUAUCAAACUAUUGGUUUUGUGAGUUAAUUGGUUUAUUUGUAUAGUCAGUUAAUUCAUUUAAUUUAUUUUGUAUGUUUAUUGAUUGAUACACGAAGAUCAUACUCACAGGCAGAACUACACGAGGUGCGAGUUGAGUUAGCUGACUUUUUGGGUUCUUACAUAUGAUUAUGACCAAUAUUUUGUGAUUCUGAAGUAGGAAAUUUUUUGUUGUGUCGCUUCUUUAUGACCCUAAACUUUAUGUAUAGAAACUUUAGCCGAUAAUUCUUUUGAAUUGUUCAUAUGGAGGAAGGGGGGAGGGGGGUUCAUUCGUAUAUAUUUUUAUUAUUGUUAUAGCUAGCAUGUUUUGUGACUUUUUAAGUUGAUUUGGAUUCAUGGCAAUGUAAUGCCAUAUGAAAUCUAAUGUAAAGCCUAUUUCAUUAUGUAUAUGUAAAGUCUUGGAAUUGAAUAUAUAUGGUGAAUGGUUUUAUUUAUAUAUGUUUGAGAUUUGAAACUAUAUUUGAUGAAUAUCAAAUAUCUAUGAAACUGUUGUGGACAAUUACAGGAUAAUUACAGGACAAUCAGAAUAUAUUUCUUUCCAUUACAGCAUAAUUCAAUUACAAUUUCUUUUUUUAAAAAAAAUUAAAAAAUGCUUGACGGUUUUAAAAUGUCACGAACAAUUGCAAGCUUGACGGUUUUAAACUGUCAUGAACAAUUGCAUUUUUACGGUUGACAAAUGUCAAAACAAUUACAUUCUUGACAGUUUUAAAAUGUCAUGAAUAGUAAAAUUCUUGACGGGUUUAAAAUGUCAUAAACCAGUUCAUCCUUGACGGCUUUAAAAUGUCAUAAACAAUACCAGUCCUGACGGUUCUAAAACGUCAUGAACAUAAGUAUAUUUGACGUUUAUAAAACGUCAACGUUCACUAUUCUUGACGUUUAAUCAACCGUCAAGAACUUUGCCUUUCUUGACGCUGGCUUCAACGACGUUUUUAAAACCGUCAAGAGAGCCGUCUCUUGAAGUUUAAAAACGUCAAGAGAGCCUGUUUUUGUAGUAGUGUUAUUUUGCCAUUUUCGCAAGUGUCCCUUAAUUGUAAUACAUGUAUAUGUGACAUAAUCUAAUCAAACUAACCAUAAAUGGACUUAAUGUAUCAGGUAUUAGGUGUAUCAGACGUGUAUAAGGUGUAUCAAAUGUACAUCAAUAACGAGGGCAUUUGUGACAUUUUACCUCUUGAUGUGUGAGCUGGUCUUUGUUUUUGUCACUUUCUCAAAUAAUAAAGUAUGUGUUCUAUGGACUUAAUUAUUAUAACUUAUUUUGCCAUUUUCGCAAGUGUCCCUUAAUUGUAAUACAUGUAUAUGUGACAUAAUCUAAUCAAACUAACUCAUAAAUGGACUUAAUCGAUCUCAUGGACCACGAAUUCUUCAAUUACUUGCAAAUUUGGUGAGUUCCUUCAAACAGUGGGCGAAGAGCUUAAUUUUGAGAGAGAGGAAAAGUCGUGAAGAGUAUAUGCGAGAGAGGGGGAACGUGCCAGAGAGCAUUUGCGAGAGAGCUAAAGACAGCGACGAUGUGGGAUGAAGUAAGGUUUUUUUCGGUCGUUGUUCACAGUGGGAUGAAAGCUUCGAAUUAUUUGUUUUAAAUCAAAAGGCGUAAUGAUUGAAGGAAAACAUUUAUUUUUUAUUAGGGUAAUUUUUAAUGACACAUAAUUUAUGUCAUUAAUUAACAAUGCGAAAAUUUUGUCAAGAAAACUCAAUUUGUGUCACGAAAAAUUUUGUAUUUUUAUUUUUAACGACACAUUUUAUUCCCUCAUGUCCCUUUUUCUUGAUUUCAAGUGUCAUUAAAACUUAUUGUUGAAUAAGAAAUUUUGAGACCAAUCACAAGUUGCCACAUCAUUUAUUAAGUUAAUGAUGAAAAGUACAAAUAAUUAAAUUUGGGACUAAUUAAAAUUGACAUAUGCUCCAAAUUAAAGAGUUGAAAAUAAAUAAAAUGGUCAUUCUAAUAAUGCCACAUGUUUUCAUAUUAAUAGUUGGAUUAAGUUAAUCAUUUUAGUUCAAUUAAAUAUUAUUUACUUGGACUAAGUUCAAUUAAGCCCAAAAAAUAAGCUUAAUUGAGCCCAAAGACUAAAUAUAACCUAAGUCCAUAUGGUUGAGCCCAUGCGUCUGGUCCAUGGACCAACUAGGUUCAAACCCAUAAAGCCCACCAGUGAACUCUAUAAAUAGAGGAAUUCUCCUCAUUUGUAGGGGUUGGAAAAUAUUGACUCUAGAAGAUCCAGAGAGAAUUCUUCAAAGAGCUAGAAGACUCCCUAACUCCUGAAGUUGACCAUCCUCGAAGAUUGAAGCUUCUUUAAAGAUACAAGCUUUCUUCCAAGGCUUCAACUUCAAGAACAUCACGUGCUUCGCUUCCUCCAAAUCAAGCUGAAGCAUCCAGUUGAGAGAGAAUCAGAGGAUCAAAUUCUAGAGAUUGAACCGCAUCGCAUCAAAUCAACAAAAAUACAACAUCAACUCAAGUUCAAGUCCACGAAUUAAAUUUCUCCAGAAAUCUCGUGCGAACAAAUUGGCACGCCCAGUGGGACCAUCUCUACCUCUCAUCUCUCUCUCAUCAUCUAGAUCUACAAGCAAAUCAAUGGCAUCAAAGAAAGUUGCAUCCAAAUCUUCAGCUGCAAGCGACACCUACACGGGACCUAUCACCUGUAGUCGUUCCAAGGGGAUCAUCCAAGGGCAAGACCAAGGUUCCGCCAUCGCGCAGAGCAUCCUGAAGCAAUUAAUGGAAUCUCCUAAAGCUGGAAUUGUCAUCAAGGAAAAUCCUCUAUAUAAUGAUUAUGAUUCUGCCUCUAGCAGGUCACUGAAAGAAGCACACCCAGAUGUGAUGUCCGUCAUGAUGGCUGAUGUAGCAGUCGAGACUGCCAUGGCGGAGAUGGAGAGAAAAUUAAUCUCCUGAUGAAGGUUGUUGAUGAACGAGACCACGAAAUUACAGCUUUAAAGGAGCAGAUGCAGACUCGUGAAACUCUGAAUCGAGUCAAACUUGUCGUUAAAGUUGAUGACAAAGGGAAGAACGUGGUACAAGAAAAUCAGCCACAACAACAAUCAACUUCUGUGGCUUCUCUCUCGGUUCAACAAUACAAGAUAUGAUCACAAACUCCAUCAGAGCACAAUAUGGAGGCCCAUCUCAGACUUCUUUCAUGUACUCUAAACCAUACACCAAAAGAAUCGACAACUUGAGAAUGCCGCUUGGAUAUCAGCCUCCAAAAUUCCAGCAGUUUGACGGAAAGGCAAUCCAAAACAGCACGUUGCUCACUUCGUCGAAACAUGUGAGAAUGCAGGAUCAAGAGGAGAUCAACUAGUCAGACAAUUUGUUCGAAGCUUGAAAGGAAAUGCUUUUGAAUGGUAUACUGAUCUGGAGCCAGAAAGCAUUGAGAGUUGGGAACAACUAGAAAAGGAGUUUCUCAAUCGCUUCUACAGCACCAGGCGUACUGUAAGCAUGAUGGAGCUUACAAAUACGAAACAAAGAAAGGGAGAACCAGUCAUCGACUACAUCAAUAGAUGGAGAGCUCUAAGUCUUGACUGUAAAGAUCGGCUCACCGAACUGUCGGCUGUAGAAAUGUGCACCCAAGGCAUGCACUGGGGACUCCUCUACAUUUUGCAGGGAAUAAAGCCCCGCACAUUUGAAGAACUGGCAACUCGAGCUCAUGAUAUGGAGUUGAGCAUCGCCAGUAGAGGAACUAAAGAUUUUCUUGUUCCUGAAGUAAAGAAAGAUAAGAAAGAGAUGAAAGGUGCUGAAAAGAUAGUGAAAAGCACCGCGAAAGAAUCUAUGGUCGUAAACACAACCCCGCUGAAAUUCUCCAAAGGAAAGGAAGCGAGGGUUGAAAAGAAGGAUGAUGGAAGCGAAAGGCGACGUCUGACUUUAAAAGAAAGGCAGGAAAAAGUUUACCCAUUUCCUGAUUCAGAUAUCGCUGACAUGCUAGAGCAACUACUAGAGAAGCAGCUGAUCCAGCUGCCAGAAUGUAAACGACCUGAGCAAGCAGGAAAGGUAGAUGAUCCCAAUUACUGCAAGUAUCAUCGGGUCAUCAGUCAUCCAGUAGAGAAAUGCUUCGUGCUGAAGGAGCUAAUUCUAAGGUUGGCUCGUGAGAAAAGGAUUGAGCUAGAUUUGGAGGAAGUAGCUCAAACAAACCACGCUGAAGUGACGAUAAUGUCUGAGGCUUCUUCGUCGAGAUUGAUUUUUGAGCAAAGGAAAAGCUUGGUCCAGUUCGGGACCUUUGAGCCUAUAGUUGUCCAAUUCUUUCAGGAAAUCUCAUACGAGGAUCCUCAAGGAGAGAAAAGACCAAUCGAAGAAGACGAUGAAGGGUGGAUAGUGGUGACCCACCGAAAGAAAAGACAGUCGAUCCCGACCCAAAGAGAGUCUCGCUCUUACCAAAACUAUAGAAGAGGAAAUAAGACUCAAAAGAAUAAGAAAAAGAAGAAGACUCAUAAGCUUAAGCUCGUACAUAAUGAAGACAUGAAUUUCUCUCGACCUCAACGCUUAGUGACCUUGCAGACUUCCUUCCAAAAAGCUUCCUUUGUGAUCAUCAGGAUGAAGACCCAGAAGUCGUUGCGUGUCAUGCUAUCAACACAACGGAGGAAGAAAUAAUCCCUCCAAGAUCACUAGAAGGAGAGGGAGUAUCAAAAGACCUUUCAAGGUUUAAUGUAGAGGAUCUAUUAUCACUUCCUCAAGAGACCAAAACCAUCCUUAUUGAUGCAUUGCUAAAUUCAAGAGCAUCAAGUUCGAGUACUCCGACUAUGACAUAUGAGAGUGGUUCUUAUUGUAUGUCUAUAGACUUCUCAGAUGAGGAUUUGUUGUUGGGAUCUAAACUUCAUAAUAGACCUUUGUAUGUUUCUGGAUACGUUCGAGAACAGAGAGUCGAUCGAAUCCUCAUUGAUAAUGGCUCAGCUGUCAACAUAAUGCCAAAGUCGACUAUGUGGCAAUUAGGCAUCUUGAUGGACGAGCUCUCAAAUAGCAAGCUAGUAAUUCAAGGUUUUAACCAAGGUAGCCAAAGAGCAAUAGGCAUGAUACGGUUAGAACUCAUAAUUGGCGACCUAAAGGCCAGUGCAUUGUUUCAUGUCAUAGACUCAAGGACUACUUACAAGUUGUUACUAGGGCGUCCUUGGAUUCAUGGAAACGGAGUAGUAACUUCAACACUGCAUCAGUGCUUCAAAUUUUAUCAGGACGGUGUAAAGAAGGUUGAAGCCGACUCUAAUCCAUUCUCAGAAGCUGAGUCUCACUUCGCAGAUGCAAAGUUUUAUUCAAAGAAUAAUAAUAUUUUAGAAGUUUUGCCUGCAGAAACCCCUCUUACAAAAGGAGAAGAUAAUUCACAACUGAAAUCACUCGCAACCACAGAACCACAUGAAAGUGCGAGAACCUUUAACUCUGGAAAGGGUGAAGCAUACACUAGCAGCACAAAGGGUAUGAUCUUGAAGGAUGAAAAUGCUGCAAACACACCAGUUUUGCGUUAUGUCCCUCUGUCAAGGCGCAAGAAAGGCGAAUCACCAUUCAUGGAGUCUCCAAAAGGUUUGAAAGUUGGUGACAUCGAAAUCAUAAAAGAAAGCUUCACUACACCACUAACUAAGAUAGCGAAGCAGGAGGUAAAGGUAGAUCUGGUGGAAGCAAACUUGCCCCAAAGGCGAACGAAAGACGGAUUCGACCCCAAGGCUUACAAAUUGAUGGCGAAAGCAGGUUAUGACUUCACAGCUCACACCGAGUUUAAAAGCUUGGAAAUUCAUGACCGACCUGAGCUCUCCUCAACUCAAAAGAAGCUUCUACGGAAGGACAUUCUAUACCCGUGUCGAGAAAAGGACUCGGAUACAAGUCGCCAGAACCGAUCCGUAUAACUAAAAAGGGAAGGAAAAAGUGGUUGACAUCAAUCAUAUAACUAUAGAGGAUGACAAUACUGACGUAAAAGAAGGUGAUAAUCAGAGAAUCUCAGUAUUUGAUCGAAUUAGACCAUCUGUUGCACGUCCCGUAGUAUUUGAAAGGCUAAGCAUGACAGAGGCAGAAAGAGAAAGGCUCCAGUCAGUACCAAACCUUGAGAGACAUUCGGUCUUUCGAAGGCUAACUACGACUCCCAUAAAGGAAGAAAGCACAUGCCAUGCCUUGACAACUACAAGACCAUCAGCCUUUGAAAGGCUAGGUGUGUCUAAAAAAAAAAUGUACAAGCACCCCGUGCUCCGAUUUUUAAUCAUCUCGGGGAUAAAGGAUCACACGACAACAUUGAUUCCAACAUAGCAAAGAAGAAGGAACCAAUGUCUCGUGUGAAAGUUUGGCGUCGAAUUAAGCAUACAGAUGUCGAUAAUUAUCGUAGUAAGAAGUUUCCUUGCGAGACAAAGGAAAAUGGAGAAAUUCAUAGCAACGUUCCUUCUCGCAUGAAAAGAAAAACUUUUGUUACUCUCAAUACAAGUCAAGGUUCGUUAAAGGUAAAAAGACAUGAUGUUAUACUAACGAAUCCUGAAAAAGAAGGGUCGGAACAAGGGGAAGGUGAAACUUCAUGUCAUCACAUCACCAUUAUUGAGGAAUCAGAGACUGGAACUCAUGAAGAAGACGCAGAAAAUGCCCCACAAAGUUUAGAGGAUGGUGGUCAAUCUACUGUAGACGAGCUAAAAGAGGUGAACCUUGGUACAAUAGAGGAACCACGUCCGACUUUCAUUAGUGCGUCCCUCUCUAACGAAGAGGUGGAUAAAUAUAUGAGUUUGCUCACCGAAUACAGGGACAUCUUUGCGUGGUCGUACAAGGAGAUGCCAGGACUUGACCCAAAAGUAGCAGUCCAUCAUCUUGCAAUUAAACCGGAUAUCGACCGAUUAAACAAGCACAACGACGUUUUCGACCGGAGCUUAUCCCUCAAAUCGAGGUGGAAGUCAACAAGUUGAUCGAAGCAGGAUUCAUUCGCGAGGUCAAAUAUCCAACGUGGAUAGCAAACAUUGUCCCUGUUAGAAAAAAAAAUGGACAACUUCGCGUUUGUGUAGACUUUCGCGAUCUGAAUAAUGCAUGCCCUAAAGAUGAUUUUCCCUUGCCCAUCACCGAAAUCAUGGUUGAUGCAACUACUGGACACGAGGCGUUGUCGUUUAUGGAUGGGUCGUCUGGAUAUAAUCAAAUACGGAUGGCCCUCUCAGAUGAAGAAAUGACAGCUUUCAGAACUCCAAAGGGAAUAUACUGUUACAAGGUGAUGCCCUUUGGAUUGAAAAAUGCCGCGCUACUUAUCAACGUGCCAUGCAGAAAGUGUUUGAUGAUAUGUUGCACAGGUAUGUUGAAUGUUAUGUUGAUGAUCUUGUAGUCAAAACAAAGAGACGACAAGACCAUUUGAAGGAUCUAAAAGUCGUGUUUGAUCGCUUGCGAAAAUAUCAGCUAAGGAUGAACCCUCUCAAGUGUGCGUUUGGUGUAACUUCAGGAAAAUUUCUUGGCUUCAUUGUAAGGCAUCGAGGGAUCGAAAAUAGACCAGUCCAAGAUUGAUGCCAUUCAGAAGAUGUCAAGACCUAAAAGUUUGCAUGACCUAAGAAGUCUCCAAGGACGACUGGCUUACAUCCGAAGGUUCAUCUCUAACUUGGCCGGUCGGUGUCAACCUUUUCAAAAGUUGAUGAGAAAAGGAGAAAAUUUUGUGUGGGAUGAAGCUUGUCAGAACGCUUUUGAUAGCAUAAAGAAAUACUUGCUUACUCCCCCAGUGCUGGGAGCUCCAGUACCUGACAAACCACUAAUAUUGUACAUUGCUGCACAAGAAAGGUCCUUAGGAGCAUUACUGGCACAAGAAGAGGUAAAGGGAAAGGAGCGUUCUCUCUACUAUCUAAGCAGAACAUUAAUUGGGGCUGAAGUUAACUAUUCUCCUAUCGAAAAGAUGUGUCUUGCACUUUUCUUUGCCAUUGAUAAGUUGAGGCAUUAUAUGCAGGCCUUCACGGUUCAUCUAGUGGCAAAAGCAGACCCUAUAAAGUAUGUUCUAUCCAGGCCAAUCAUCGCUGGACGCUUAGCCAAAUGGGCGGUUCUACUCCAACAAUAUGACAUUGUCUAUAUUCCCCAAAAGGCGAUAAAAGGACAAGCGCUAGCAGACUUUUUAGCAGACCACCCAAUUCCUUCGGAUUGGAAGUUAUGUGAUGACCUACCAGACGAUGAGGUUUUCUUCACAGAAGUUAUGGAACCUUGGACUAUGUACUUCGAUGGUGCAGCUCGAAGAAGUGGUGCGGGGGCAGGCAUUGUCCUCAUUUCUCCUGAGAAGCAUAUGUUGCCUUAUAGCUUUGCACUUUCCGAAUUGUGUUCAAACAAUGUGGCUGAAUAUCAGGCUUUGAUAAUUGGCCUUCAAAUAGCAUUAGAAAUCGGAGUGUCAUUCAUAGAGGUCUAUGGUGAUUCAAAAUUGAUAAUCAAUCAACUCUCGCUUCAAUAUGACGUGAAACAUGAAGACUUGAAGCCAUAUUUUGCUUAUGCUCGACAAUUGAUGGAAAAGUUUGAUAAUGUGAUGUUAGAACAUGUCCCUAGAGUAGAAAAUAAGAGAGCGGAUGCAUUGGCAAAUUUAGCCACGGCCUUGACCAUGCCAGAUGAUGUAACUCUGAACAUACCACUUUGUCAACGAUGGAUUAUACCCCCAGUUAGGCCUGAAUGUCAGGAAGUGAACAUGGCAACAUCCUAUUUGAUUGAUGAAGAAGAUUGGCGUCAACCCAUCAUAGAGUAUCUUGAACAUGGAAAGCUUCCAAAGGAUUCUCGUCAUAAAAUUGAGAUACGAAGAAGGGCAGCACACUUCAUUUAUUACAAGGGAACUUUAUAUCGCCGUUUUCUUGAAGGGCUCUUCCUUCGAUGUCUCGGAAAGGAAGAUUCGGUAAAAGCUCUAAAGGAAGUACAUGCAGGUGUUUGUGGAGCACAUCAAUCGGGACCAAAGCUUCAAUUCCAGCUAAGAAGAAUGGGCUACUACUGGCCUAAGAUGAUCCAAGAUUCAAUAGACUAUGUGAAGAAGUGUGAGCCUUGUCAAUACCAUGCAAACUUCAUACACCAACCUCCAGAACCUCUUCAUCCAACUGUGGCUUCUUGGCCUUUUGAGGCUUGGGGACUCGAUCUGGUUGGCCCCAUUACACCAAAAUCAUCAGCAGGACAUUCUUAUAUCCUAGCAGCAACAGACUAUUUUUCAAGGUGGGCUGAGGCCAUUUCAUUGAGAGAAGCCAAGAAGGAGAACGUGGCAGACUUUAUUCGAACACACAUCAUCUAUCGAUACGGUAUUCCACAUCGAAUCGUGACGGAUAAUGGAAAGCAAUUCUCCAAUAGUAUGAUGGACAAGUUAUGUGAAAAAUUCAAAUUCAAGCAAUAUAAGUCAUCCAUGUACAACGCAGCUGCGAAUGGACUAGCAGAAGCAUUCAACAAAACAUUGUGUAAUCUUUUAAAGAAAAUUGUCUCCAAGUCAAAGAGGGAUUGGCAAGAAAAGAUCGGCGAGGCAUUAUGGGCUUAUCGGACGACUCAUCGCACCCCUACAGGGGUUACACCAUAUUCGCUUAUUUACGGUGUGGAGGCUGUCCUUCCUCUCGAAAGGGAAAUUCCGUCACUAAGAAUGGCAGUACAAGAGGGAUUGACUACCGAAGAUAAUGUGAAGUUACGUCUUCAAGAAUUAGAAGCACUUGACGAAAAGCGAUUAGAGGCUCAGCAAGCAUUGGAAUGUUAUCAAGCGAGAAUGUCCAAAGCUUUUGAUAAACACGUUAAACCUCGCUCCUUUCAAGUCGGUGAUCUAGUACUUGCCGUAAGGAGACCGAUCAUCACAACAAGGCAUACAGGAAAUAAGUUCACACCUAAAUGGGAUGGACCUUACAUUGUUAAAGAAGUUUAUACAAAUGGCGCAUACAAGAUCGUUGAUCAAGACGGACUACGAAUUGGCCCAAUCAAUGGUAAAUUUCUUAAAAAAUUUAUGCUUAAUUUUGUUAGGUAAAAAAAAAAAAAAAAAAGUUGAACUACGUUAUGACUUGAUCCCUAUAUUAUAAAGGGUACGUAGGCAGCUUAAGGAAAACCUUAAGCCCAGUCCAGCAAAAAAAAAGUUGAACUACGUUAUGACUUGAUCCCUAUAUUAUAAAGGGUACGUAGGCAGCUUAAAGAAAACCUUAAGCCCAGUCCAGCAAAAAAAAAAAGUUGAACUAUGUUAUGACUUGAUCCCUAUAUUAUAAAAGGCAGCUUAAAGGAAACUUUAAGUUCAGUCCAAUAAAAAAAAAAGGAAGAAAGACAAAUUACAUUUAAUAGAAAAUAUGAUGAGGAGUGGAACAAUGAAAGAAUAAUUUUUUUUUUAUUAUUAUUAUAAACUUCUAGCAAAAAAAAAUUAAAAAGGCAUAAGUAGAUAAAUAAGAGAAAGCAGAGAAUCAUGGAGUCCAUUUAAAGUUCUUCAGCUCCUCUAGUGUGCUUUCUAAAGAUUCACGAAGUGUUGAUAGCAUUUUAGCAUCAAUAUCUCCAACGAUCGGGGCACAUUCGAGUUUGUCAAUUUCCUCACAAGUCUUCGAAAUCUCAUGUUGCUUCUGCUUCAGCUCCAGGUCGUUCUUAAAAAUUAUUCCAGAAAGUUUAGCAGACUCAACCCGCACCAUCUUUAGUUUUGCCUCUAGUUUAGCCUCCUUAGCGGACAGUCGUGUAAGACGACGUUUAGCAGUGUUGGUCUCUGCUAAUAUACGAUUCUCAUCAACUCGCAGAGUCUUCACAAAACCUUUUGCCUCCGUUAGCUGAACAUCCUUAGUUGAUUGGAGUGGAAAUGAGGAAUGUAUUUGAUUAUGGUUCUCGACACCUUGGAAGUAACCAUUCACAAGCUCCCUCAAAACAAUAAGGUUGUCGCUGCCGUUAGUCGCAAUCGCAUCAAAGAUCUUAUGCAUUUCUGGUUCAAGACUACUCAGUCGUUCAAAAGGGGUACGAAUGAUCUUCUGUCGUAGGUUUUCCCAUAAGGUUAUGGCAGCCUGUCGUCGGAGGUCAGAAAUUAAGCUGUCAGCACAAAAAUGAGAAAUCUCAGAAACUGUAAUAGGCUCUGUGCCUUCCACUUUUUGAGGAGGUCCCUUGAUCACAGGAGGACAAGCAGACACAAUAUUUGCGCCUAUAGGUUCCUUAGAGUUCCCAUUAUAAGAAAGUACAACGUUACAGUCUUCUAGAUUCAGCAUCAACUCUAGGGUAUCUUCGAUGUGUAGGUCAUGAUCACCUAAAGAAUACUACAAAAUAAUAUUAACAACAAGAAAUAAGGGGAGUAAAGGAGAGAAAAUACAAUCAAUAAAUAAAUAAAAUUGGGAGACGAAAAGAAACCAUGGGGGAAGGGACAUCGAAAAAUUGUGCAGCAUCAGGGACCCGAAUAGGAGACUCUUCAUCAUCGAUCGACUGUUUGUUAGGCUUCUUGGGUCUCUUCCAAUGGCGAUCAUCAUUGCUGCUUUGACUGUCCUCAAUACGUUUAGAAGGAUGCUUGGUAGCUAUCGAUAAGCGGUUGUCCUUACCCAUAUUGUCAAUACCACCUUUAAUAAGAUGUUUAAAUCGUGUAGAAAGAGACAAAUUAUCCACCAAGCGUUUUGUCCCUCCCUCAAUUUUCUCCACAAGUCGUUCAUCAGUUUCAUCGGAGCAUAUCUUCUGAUUUCCACUACCAAAAUUAUGUUCAAUCUUUUUUGUGGUUUUGGAUUUGAUGUGAGGGGGAGUAGGACGAUCUAUCAAAUGUUGUACUCCUUCUUGGAGGUAAUCACCGUGUUUUGCAAGCCACCAGACCUUAUAAUGAGAGGUAACAUGUGUGUCUGGAUUAGGGGCAGACACAGGAAGAUAUACUUGGGAAAGUGUAUUCUCGCGAAUACAAAUCAUCCAACAAUAUCGUACGUUAAAAAAAUUGGCUUCGGGAAUUUCUUCACCUAAGUCAUAUGGCACGUCUUGAUAAAAUCCAAAUGGUCGGCUAAAGCGACAAGGACUAUAAGGCUCAAUAACUGUGGAGGAUCCACAUUGCGAGGAUAGAAAACAAGAGCAAAUGCUUAUGAAAAAUGAAGCAUUCUAACUAAUUAACUCUCCAUCAUCCGUUAAGAGUUCGUCCUUAUUCUUUGUUGGAAGACACGCAUGCCAUGACACAUACUUUCCCUUGUGGAUAUGUGUUCGAGCCUCAAGAUUAGUAUAAUAUUUGGCCCCACCUUCACCAGAAAAUUCAACCAUGCGAGGACCCCUAAGACUCCUAGGGGCUUUAUAAUGAGUGUUGAAGUAAAGAGCAAGCCACCCAUGGACAUAGUGAAGAGGAAAACAGGCAUUUGAAUAACCAAGUGAUGAAGUAGAAUCAUGAACUUGGCGUAGGCCACUAUAAAUAUUAGCUAAAACAGGGACGGCAAGGCUAAAUGUGUAGCCUUCCGCCAUGAGGCUAGCAACCUUAAAAACCUCCGGACGAAGGGAAAGUUGCUUAUCAGGGAACACAAACACACAUAGCCAACAAGAGAGAAAUGCCGCUAGAUAGGUUUUGUCCCUAUGAUCAUCAGUGACGCUUAAGUCAAGGAACACUUUGAGUUCAGCUUUAGACCAGUCAGGACGUCUGAUGGGAAUUCCAUCUGGAUUAUGAGUUGAGCGAGGGCGAGAAGUCUUUUUAGGCUUUCGAGGAGGCGGUUUCGAAUACUUUACCUCAGAUCGUGUAACCCAAAAAGAGAUCCAUUCACUUACAGUGAUUUGAGAGUGAUCCAUGCGUUGAGAAACAAUGCGGUAAUAGGCUGCAAAUAAAUGCUCACAACUUCUUGGACAUACAUCAGGUGAUCCUAUUAAGUCUUGGUGGCAAGGAAUGCUUUCUUCAUAAAAUCUACCUUUAAUCGGGAGUCCUCCUAGUAUCCAUAAGUCCCAUAAGGAGAUGGACAUCUCACCAGCUGAGGUGUGAAGAGUGUUUGUUGAAGGACACCAUGCCUCGCAGAAAGCCCGAUCAAUGUCACUGUUGCGAUCAUAUGUAUAUAGGGAAGCCAUCACAGCAUUAAAUAGGGAGGCUCGCUUGAGUACUGCCGUAUUUCUAGCAACAACGAGCUCUAACCACUCCCAAUAAUGAGGAAGAUAGUAAAAUUCUCCAUGUACCUUGAGCACAUUUCCCCAACGAAUUUUUGGGUCGUUUAUAAUUCGACGACCCAACGUUGAUUCUGGAUCCUCAUUUGGAGGCUUGUUGUGAAUCGAAGACUCCAGAAACCAAGAUUUUAAAGAUGAAUUUGGAUUUACAAACCGUUCCUUGGACCAUUUAGGCAAAAAGAUAAAAUUGUCCUCGGGUAUUUGAGAGUCCAUAAUAUUCUCAUAUGUCCCCUCUCUCACAGGAAGAAUGAUCCCUUCCUCUAAAGAUUGAUCUACGUCCUUCAGGAUAAUUAAACACCUUUUGGUCGAGUCAGAAUACUCAGUGAAGUGCACCAUGAUGAAAAGAAGAGUUCCUGCAAAAUAAUAAUAAUAAUAAGAAGAAGAAGAAAUAGAAAAAAAAAAAAAAACCAAAACAAAAAAAAAAAAAAAAAAAAAAAAAAAAAAAAAAAAAAAAAAAAAAAAGAAAGAAGAAAAAAAAAAGAAAGAAAGAAGAAAAAAGGGGGGGGAAGAAAAAGCAAAUGGAGAUUGAAGCCCGACGAUGACAGAGUCGAUCUCUCCUACUAGGGCGAUAGAUCUGACGGCAAAAGCCCGAUCGUCCCUAGAAGAAGCUCAACAAAGUCAUUUCUGCAAACGAAGAUCGAAGCCCGACGAUGACAGAGUCGAUCUCUCCUACUAGGGCGAUAGAUCUGACGGCAAAAGCCCGAUCGUCCCUAGAAGAAGCUCAACAAAGUCAUUUCUGCAAACGAAGAUUGAAGCCCGACGAUGACAGAGUCGAUCUCUCCUACUAGGGCGAUAGAUCUGACGGCAAAAGCCCGAUCGUCCCUAGAAGAAGCUCAACAAAGUCAUUUCUGCAAACGAAGAUUGAAGCCCGACGAUGACAGAGUCGAUCUCUCUAACUAGGGCGAUAGAUCUGACGGCAAAAGCCCGAUCGUCCCUAGAAGAAGCUCAACAAAGUCAUUUCUGCAAACGAAGAUCGAAGCCCGACGAUGACAGAGUCGAUCUCUCCUACUAGGGCGAUAGAUCUGACGGCAAAAGCCCGAUCGUCCCUAGAAGAAGCUCAACAAAGUCAUUUCUGCAAACG
rnacentral:lncRNA from 1 species